rnacentral:lncRNA from 1 species
GGCCCCACUCAAGUACCCCCUUUGCAUCCGCUUUGCUGUCAAGUCUGGCGGCUACCGCAUCGCCGACGACGUCAUCCCCGCCGAUUUCAAGGCUGGCACCACCUAUAAGACCACACUCAGCAUCUAAUCAACCUCUCAUGAUGAAUUAUAUUUCAAAAGAGCUCACCUAGCGCAUGUGUUACAAGACAAUAUUAUUUUUUCAAUGGCUUUUUUUGGCACCAGACCACCCAAGAAAUAAGUUAUGCUACAUGUCUCUUCUGACGCCUUGUUGUGUUGGGUUGAUAUUAUUACAUAAACUAAAUACAUUAUUUAUUUAAGAUUUUAGGAGAAAUAUGUUGAUCUGAUCCACCUUCAUUAUCGAGAUGGUUGUACAUUUGAUUUUCCAAUGUUUUAAUACUUAUGAAAUUCUUUGUUUUUGUUGUUUCUAUGCCUGGAUUAAUAAAGUUUGUUUUAUCAUUUUUAACAUAUUGUUCAUGCUCAUUUUUUUGUCAAAAAUAUCAGUUAUAUAACCAUGGAUCUUUAGUGAGAAGCUCCUAUUACUUACCCUAUACAUCUUUCCUUGUUAGAGAUUAGUUUCUUGGAUUUUUGGUGGACAAUAUUUUUCCAUGAAAAAUCCAACGGUCGUUCAUGUUCAUUUUGGCCAAAAAUAUUAGUCAUAUACACAUGAAUCUUUGGUGAGGGCCUCUAGCCUAGUGGUUAAAGGCUCUCGAGUAGCACCUCCAAGUCCCGGGUUCGAUCUCCCUCGUGGGCAAAUUUUUCGGAUUAGUGAAAAAAAUCUCCUAGCUAUGUCUCAUCUGUUCUCAAGUUAUGAUAUCAUGUGUGCCCCCUACAUUUGGGCCAUUGCAAAGUGGACAGUUGACACCAAGCCCGUUAGUGAUGGGAAGCCAGGGUUCAGGGAUUUUCUUGGCUGGGACCAGUGUUUCGGUCUCUUCUGUAACACCCUGAAUUUGGUGGUAUAAAAUUUAUUCUCUAAUGCCUACCAAAUUCAGGUGUUACCUCUUGUUUCUCUCUCUCUAGUUUUCUUCUCUCUUCCUUUUUAUUAGAAUUAUGUAUACUAUGUGGGAGAUUAAGUAUUUCUUUACUAUAUCAAAACCUAUGCGAGUCAUGGGAUGUUACAUCAUGCUGAGCCUAAAUUAUACUUUUGCUUGAUGCACAUGUUUGAAUUAUUUGAAUUUGAAUUUGGAGCAUGUUUCAAUUUGGAUUCAAAGGAGAAAAUAAAAGGAAAAAGGAUUAGAAAUUCCGGAAUAAAAGAAAUGGGAAAAGAGCCCAGUCGCCCUCCCUCCUCUGCCUUUCGGCCCAAACCGGCCCAGCUAGCUGCGUCCCGCUCGCUCGCUCGCCUCCUCUCUCUCUCUGCCCGGUGGGACCGCCCCGUCAGCGCUGUUGCGCUCUCGUGCGCACCCGAUCUCGUUGGCUCAUGGGCCCUGCCCAUUAGACUUGUCCCCUCCCCCGCAACCACCACGCCCAUGACGUGCGCCCCAUGCACGGUCAAACUGCGCCCACGCCCCCACGAUCCGCCCAUGUUGCUCGAGCGCCUAGGUGAAUACCCCGCGCCCCCCUCAGCUCGCCCCUCCCUCAUUCACUCUCUUCUAGCCCUCGCGCUCACUCAGCCCGCAGCGCCGCCCCCUCUAUUGCUCCAUUGUUCCGCCGUCCUCGCUGGGCCUCUACCGUCGUCUCGGCCACGGUGAGCUUCGCUGGAGCCUUAUGCACUGGGAACACGCAGUGGUUUCCCAUCUCAUCGAUCCCUUUGCCCGGUCCGUGCUCAACCUCUCCCCUGCACAGGUCGGAGUUCGCCACCGCCAUGGUUUCUUGUCGUCCGGCCAUCCAGAGUCCCCUCACGCCGUGCCAAGCCGCCCCGAGUGCGGUAUCUGGGUAUGUGACCUUCCCCCGAUCUUCUUAUACACAUAUUCCAUCUCACCGUGGGUAAUUUCGGCUUGCUAGAGUGGCCUAUGGUCCGCCCAAGGUCCCCCCCUCCGCUGUCCGCCUGUCUCAGCCCCGUUUCAGUGACCCUGACUUCGCCAUAGUGUUCGUCGAGUCCUCCCAAACCUCUUUGGCUACCAGACCACCCUAGCGCCCCUAGAAACCCUGGUCUGUCUCGCCUUCGACGACAGCACCGCCACGACCGUGAACAGCGCCGCCCUAGGCCGACCAGAGCUGAUAAACUCCCCGUGGCGCCCGAUCCUGACCGUUCAUCCUUGAUCCGUUGGCCUAGGUGCUCGGAUAACGGUUCACUCGGUUCAUUGGACCAGGAACGUUGAUUCGAGAUCCGGUGGCCAGAGUGCCUCACGCCCCCACGCAUCAGCGUCUCGCUCUGCCUCGAGCCCCACAUGUCAGGCGUCCACGCCGAGCCCUCGCCCGAGCCGCCAACCACGUUUGCGCCUCGCCCGAGCCCGCUGACCCGCUAGCCCCAUGUGUCAGUGUCUCGUCCCGCCCUGAGACCCGCCUGUCAGGCGCUCACGUCUGCGUGCACGCAUGCACGCGCGCUCGCCAGAUCUAGUUAUGGCCAUUGAUCUGAGAUCUAACGGCUGGCAGGACCCGACACCUCUUUGGUUUGCAGCUUUAUAAAAAGAACCCUCGGUUUCCAAUAAAUAGAACCCGCUGUCCCUGGAAUUUGCAACCGGGCUUCUGGGAUCUUGCAGAAAGAACCCUAGACUUUAUUUUAAUCACAGAAAUAGGUCUAAUUUUGUAUUUUGAAUUCCAAAACUUGUUUAAUUCAUAUCUUUUGCAUAUGAACUCCAAAUUGGGUGGUUCAAAUUGCAAAGUGUUAAUAAAAUUAUUCUCUAUCUGUUUAAAUUAUCAUCUUUCACUGUCUGCAUGUAUUAAUUUUAUGUCUAUGCUAUAGGUGCUUUUAAAGUAAUGGUUCAUUAUUUAAAAGGAAAUAAAAAGGAAAACACUAAUGAUAAUUAAGUGAUUAACUUUGUGAAGUUAAUAUCAUGUAAUGUAUGAACCCAUCUCUGGUAUAGAUUUAAUAAUCCAUUAAGAUGACUAUAGUAAGUUAUGUAAUCCACUGAUAUAAGCAGUACUAAGAGAACCACAAACCCCUAAGUGUAUUUGUAUAUCCUAGGAUCUAAAUUUCACACUGGUGUCUGUACUUUUCUAUUGGAUUUGUGUUCACAUGAUUGCAAAUGUUUGGUGUAUUAUUCCUUUAUCAUUUCCCAAAUGUGUUGAAUGCAUGAUUGCGUUGCGUAGACAACGAGAAGUUUGUGGUUCCUGAGUGUGUUGCUAGAGACCUCCCUCAGCAGCAACCUAGUGAAGGCAAGUGUCCUCUUACCCAUUAUGUCCUACCUACUUUAAAAUUCACUAUCCCGCAUUACUUAAUUGAAACCUAAGGAUUGACUAGCUUUGUAUUUACCUUGUCCUUGAUUACCUUUUGGGUUAUUAUGGUUAGCUUCAUGCUAUUGCUUUACUUUAAUCAACGAACAUGAUGAGAAUAUUUAUGAUACGAUGAUGCUAUCUUGAUGAUGAUGAUGAUUUGUGAUACUUAAGGGGACUCGGGCUGUUUCCUGAGUACCUCUUCGUAAGGACCUGUUCAUUGAGAGACCACCCGAGAUAACAUUACAACCAUGGGGGUGGAAUGGGAUGCCCUUAGCUGGAUAAUUAGAGGAACUUGAGGUGUAGUCGGCUUUGUCGUAGGGCCGUCAAUGGGGUCCGAGCAUAGUACUUGCUCUGCCGAGGCUGGAUACCGAGGUUCUUUCAAUUUGGUUUUGUUAGUCACCCUUCCUAUGGGGAGAAGUACUGUGUUUAUCAAAAUGAAGAAACCUAACGAGAUGCUAUGACCUCUGGGGAAUCUUUGUAAAGGCUACAUAGUGAAACCUUGUCUACUCACCUUGGUAGUGUUUGAGGGUUUGAUCGACCCGAGGCAAAAAGGGAUCAUGACUCGUGGGUAAAGUGUGCAACUUCUAAAGAGUGUUAGAAACCAGUAUAUCAGUCGUGCUCACGGUUAAGAUUAGCAUUGGGAUCCUUCUUUAUUAGAAUAAUUCUAGAUACUUUUAUGAUGAUGAUUAAUGGUGAUGAUUACAACUGUGGUCUCUGGUAUUUCCUCUGGGAGGUAGUACUUUUGGGUAAUAACUAGGUUUAUUACUAAGGGCAUGUUUGGUUUGUGCCUAAAUGUGCCACACUUUGCCUAAGGUUAGUCGUUCGAAUUGAAUAACUAACCUUAGGCAGAAAAGUUAGGCAAAAUGUGGCAAUUGAGGUAACAAACCAAACAUGCCCUAAAACUUGGCUUACUACUAGUAAUAAAUACCUAACCAACAAAAAGCAACUGCUUUAACCUUAACCCCACAUACAGCUAGUCCACUUUAGCCAAUGGGACAUUUGCUGAGUAUGUUGAUCUGUACUCACCCUAGCUUUAAAACCCCCCAACCCAGGUUGUCCCUAUUGCAAUCAGUGCUCAGGAGGAGAUGAAGGCAACAUGGAGGAAUUUCAGGAGUUUCAGGACUUCGAUGAGUUCUAGUUGUGUUUAGUGGCAAACCCCCAGCCAGCUGCCUGUGAAGGCCUUAUCUUCUACAUUUUGUAUCCACACUUUGAUUAUGUUGAUGACUAUGUUAAGUUAAUGACUCUGUGGAUGUCUUGGACAUCUUGAUGUAAUAAAGUACUAUUCCCGCUAUUUACUUUGAGCAAUGUCUGAUGAUGUCCAACUAUGUAAUCGCUGUGUACGUGAGUUUCUGAUCUUGGCACGUACAUGGUUCACAUUCAGUUUGCCUUCCAAAACCGAGUGUGACAUAAGUGGUAUCAAAGCCUUACUGAUUGUAGGAACACUAACCUAGACUAGAAUGGUCGCCCUAAGGACUAUAGACCCUUGUUCUCACCUUGACCUUUGGUGUCACUUCAAAAGUUGGUCAUCUUGACCAAUUCUAUGUUAUAUUAUUAUCUAUAUACUCAUCUUACAAAUUUUUUAUCUCACUUUGCUUUUGGUUUACUUGCUGGUCACAUAGUUCUAUUCUCACUCUUGUGCUUACGAUAUCUUUUGUAGAUGGUCCGUCUUAGAUGCACUGCACGUAAGUCAGUGAUCCCUUUCUUGCACUCUCGCCUUGCGGAAUGUCCACUGCGCCGCACGAUGACAGGACAAUUGAGUCACCUGGAGAGACUGCACCGACACCUGCACGAGAAGUAGGAGCAUCGGCGCCAGGAGCAGCAGGACUCUUCCCCCUCGCCCCAGCAGGAGGUGGAGUCUGGAGGCGGCCCUCCACUGUGUCUCAGCUAGAGGUGCCCCUGCACCACCAUAGGGCACCCUAGCUGCUAGAGGAGACCCUUACGAAGAUGACGAUGACGGUGAUAGUUCGAGCCACAACAUGGAGCUUUCGGAGGAGCAGGAGUCGUAAGGAUGGAUCGCCCAACCCAUCACUUGUGACACCGCCCGCGGUUGUCAUUUCCACGAUGCUCUCGACACCUUGCUGCAUCAGGCCUUCGACCGACACACUUGGUCUAUUGAGUACCGUUGUGUAGUCUACCAGCACCGUCAUGAGUUAUACUUGGACCAAUGGGAGGCUACUUGCUUGGUGUGUCGUCCGGACGAUGAUCUCCGGGGUGCAGAGGCCUACUUAGAGCAUUAUUCUAUCACUAAGCGAGACACUGUCGAGGCAACCAUGUAGGAUGCUGCAUGGCGUGCGCUUUUGCAGUACUUUUCGUUGUUCAGCAGGGUAGCUGACGGCCUUGACCUGAAGUAUUACCCCUGCCGUUCGACCGGCAGUACCGGAGGUGUGAUUGUCUCACCAUAUGGCGAGGGAAAACCCAAACUAGGCAGUAUGGUGUCACACCCCAGUUCUGGGGGCAAAACCGAAUGCAUAGCAUAUGUGGGCCAGGAUCCAUUUCCCACACAUAUAUUGACAUCACAAGUGUAAUAUAUCAAAAUACAAUGCAAUAAAGGCGUAAAGAGAGUAGAGUACUUUAUUACAUCAUCUGAAUCAAUGUAUCUUUAACAAGUAUCAAAAUCAAAGUAGGGCGGAAUUAAAUAUGGGCACUCUUCCACAAGAAGAUGACAGGCGCAUCGUUAGACUUAAAACUCAUCAUCGUCAUCAGCAAAGUCUUCAGCAUCACCCUCUGAUCAAAAUAUUAGUAAGGGUGAGCUCACUUAUGGUCGGGGCUCAGCAAGUGGGGGAAAUUAAUGCAAGUCAAAAAGGUAGGCUAUGGAUAAGCGGUAAGCAUUUUAGUUGGUCAAUAUUUUAUUAGCAACACCUGUACUACUAAUUGUAGCAUCCCAAAAAUUCAAAUUCUAAAAUAUUCUCAAACUCGCUCUAAAUUCAAAAUGAAUUUCAAAUUUUGUUUCAAAAUGUUUGUUUGCAAGUUGAUAUCAACAAGUAAAGUACAGUGGUCUAUAUUCUCUCUAAAAUCCUCCUCAAAGUAUCCUACAAAUAUUUCCCUAGUGAUCCCCCUCAAAUUCUUCCAGAAAUACCGCCCAGAUAUUUCCCGAGUGAUCCCCUUCAAGUUCUUUCAGAAAUACUACCCAAAUAUUCCACCGAUAUAUCUCCAAGUAUUUUCUUCCUAAGAAAUACCUUCAGAAUCAUUUUUCAAGCCCCCACAAAUAUUUUCUUCAUAACUUUCUUCAUGCUCAUACGUAUACGUAUGCCUCCGGUGUCAUACGUUGAGCUCUACAAGCUAAUUACACUCAUAUAAGACAAAUCCAUGCUAAUCUCCCACUAAUCCUCUAAUCCCUCCCCCUAAUCCCCCCACCAUGGCUAUAAAUAGAGGGGCAAGGGCCUCCUCUCAUCCCACCCCAAGCCAUUUCAUGGCAACUCCCUCUCUCCCCCCCACACACCCACUCCAUGUUCCACACAAGCACACACUAGCACAAGGAUCGUUCGGUCGUUCUUCGAUCGUUCGUCCCCCUGUUCUUAGUUGUUCGUUCAUUCGUCCGAUCGUUUGAUCGUUCGUCCGAUCGUUCAUGGUUCGUUCGUCCGUUCGUCCGAUCGUUCGAUCGUUCGUCCGUUCGUUCGUCCAAAUAAUCUUUUUCCUGCCGUUAUGCUACCGAAAUUCCGUUCGUCCGUUCGUUCGAUCAUUCAAUCGUUCAUCGUUUGUUCAUAGUUCCUAUUCAUCGUUCAUCGUUCGUUCAUCGUCACUAUUUACCGUCACUAUUUUACCGUUACUAUUUACCGUUACUAUUUACCGACACUAUUUUACCGUUACUAUUUACCGUUACUAUUUACCGUCACUAUUUCUCGUCACUAUUUUACCGUCACUAUUUACCGUUACUAUUUUACCGUCACUAUUUACCAUUACUAUUUACCGUCACUAUUUACCGUCACUAUUUUACCGUUACUAUUUACCGUUACUAUUCACCGUUACUAUUUAUCGAUCAUCCGAUCACCCCAAAUUUCAACUACUCAUCCAUCAUGCUGUCCAGUCCACCUAAGACCAGCCAGACCCAUAUUCCAGUUAUACAAACUCCGGUGACUGUGAUUUUCCUUCCAGUGGGAACUUCCCAUCUGGUCACCCAUCCUAGGUUUCUCCAAGUUGAGCACGCUUAACUUGAGAUUCCUUCGAACCAGGCUUCCAAACUCAGAUUCCAAUAAUUCUCGUUUCUAAAUUCUUAUCAAAUUAUUCCCUAUCCAACCAUGUCAUCCCUUAAGCAUGGUUCAUAUUCCAGAAAACUCCCAAAAUACUCUCAUAUUCUGCCUAUAACUCUCCUGUUCAUACUAAGUCAGACGAUUCAUUCGUCACUAUUCUCACCAACAGUGAACUUCACUGUGCUACACCACAUACACCCAGCUAUAAAUACACCCAGCUACCCUCUCCCUCUCCACACACACUCAACACCCUCAGCCAAGGAAAACACCCCACCCACUCAGUUACUCCGCUCUGCCGGCUACACGCAUAGUGUCGCUUCGCCUCUAGUCCACCCUCUUGUUAUCGGAGCGUUCGUGUCGUCUCGUGGAGGCCAGAUCUGCAAGUCUACACCAGGCGGUGGAGCCAGAAGCCAGUUCCGCGAGCUCUUCUCCCCCCUUCGCCGAAUAAGCACGACAAGCUCACUGGAUCCCUUUGAUGCAUAAAUUACCUAUGCUUUUACAACCACAACCCUCAGCCUGUUAUUUUAUGCAUGAUAUGAUUUUGAGACAAGUUAUUAUGGCCACCCAGCCGCUUGCCACAAUCAAUACUUGAUAUAUUUGUUACAAAUGAUUUGAGAAAAGGUGUGAGUUUUCAAAAGAAAAUGCUUUUCAAAAUGUGUAUGAUGAAGGGUUUUCACCCUUAUCACCUUGUGAGUGGGAUAAUCAGGGACUCCCUGGUUUAGGGGAGGGCCUAAGGUGAAGGCUCAGCUGGUUUAGGCGUGAGCAAAAGGAUUGUCCCCUCAUAUAAGGACCGAUUUGUCAUCUUUCACUACCUGUACUCAUGAUAAGUACAACCACUCGAGACUGUGUGGGCAGUCACUCAAUCUGAACUCAUACGGUCCAACCCCAGGGUUAUGAAGGCUGGGGAGCACCGGGAGGAUAAGGAGGGGGAAUGUUUUGUCCGGUUUGGACAUGGUGGUGGCCUGACUCCUUCCGGUAUAACCGUUAAGGUUAGGAUGUGCGAGGAAAGAAAGAGAUUCAGCAUUUGGGUCUCACGACGGUGAGAUCGCAGAAACCGGACUAGUGGGUAAAGUGUACACCUCUGCGCAGAGUUUGAAAACCUAUUCGAAUAGUCCGUGUCCACAGGAAUGGACGAGUCUGGUAUGGUAUGGCAAUUAAUGUUUUGUUUUCAUAAAAGGCUACGUUUGAGAAAAUGUUUUUUUAAAAAGGUUCGGCGGUUGAGCCGUGAGCUAUGGUGGAUGGGAAGUCUAGUAGCUGUUUUUGAAAAUGAAAACCAGUGGGAAACUACUGAGAUACCUGGAUGGUUUAGUCCAGGGGAUUUUGUUCUAAUAUUGAAAAACUUCUCGCUCCUUUGGGAGAGGAUGCGCUUUGGAAAAUACAAAAUGUUUUACAAAACAACCCUGCAUAAAAUAUUGUUGUUUCUGCAAAAUAUCCUGAGCUCCAGAUAUUCCAUGCAUUAUAUCUGAUUUCCCCAUUCCGCGAGUGAAGGUGGGCUGCUGAGUACGUUUGUACUCACCCUUGCUUAUUUAUUUUUUUUCAGAAAAAGGAGAUCGGGUAAGAGUUACGACUGUUCCCAACCUUGCUUGUGGCUGCUGGACCGCUGAUUUGCUUCGCUGUGUAUAUCGGACUGCUUCAGCCCCACUCUGAUGAUAUGUCCCGAGUUGUGGACCAACUCUUAAAGUUGAUCGCCACCUUUAUAGGUUUGUCUCGUUUAAGCAGAUCUGUAAUCAUCUGAUGUAUAAAUGUGUUUACUAGCCUCCUGGGACUAGUAAUUGUAUCACAUUUGAGUCCAAGAGGAUUGGGGCGCUUCAGGUGGUAUCAGAGCUAUUAGGUUGGCCGCAGGACGUAACCCUUAGCCUGAUCAAAAGUUUUUGAGUUAAAACUAUUUUCUUAAAAAAAUUCUUGCUCUCAUCCCUUCAUUUCAAAAAUGUUUUCCCCCUUUCCUUCUCUCAGAAGUCAGAUGAAGGUUCAGUGCCAAACCAGCUUUUGCCAGAAUGAAGAUGGUUUCCCCAUGUUGCUGAGAGCAUGCAUAGUCCGCCUCGGAAUCAGGAGCCAACCAGAGUAUGACGGUCGUGAAUUCAUCGAGCAUGGCACAGAGAAGUGUGUCGUGACUGUGUACAUUGGAUCCAGUCCGCACCAUGUGGAAUGGAGUGUCACUGCUGCUGGGCACAGAUUCAAAGACACCUGCCAAGUCGUCGCUCGCAAGGCAUUGAGGACCCUAUGUCAGAUCUAUGAAGAAGAAGUGGCCGACACCCCGCUCAGAUUCUUUCCACCCUUUCAGAGAGACCGUCCCGUUUGGAUGGCUAGGAUGCGUGCAUUGGAAGAGCAGCAGCUGCUUGAAGAUGACCCCACAGUCGUGUACCUCACUACAUACCUGCUCACCCUGGAUGCGCAGUAUGAUUUCUUGGCUCGGCACCACCGUCAGAUGAUUGCCCGAGCAGAAGAUGCAGAGAAGCUCAACCGUAAGCUCCAUGUGGAUCUCACCUCAGCUCAAGCCCGUGUAGCUGCCUUGGAAAGUCGUGAAGCCAUUGCUGUUGAAACCCUGAAGCAAGCCAAGGAUGAGCACGUCCAGAAGUUGAUGGAGGCCUACUUGGUAACCCAUAACCAACGUAGAGCCCUGCGGAUCCAAGAGCCUGCUUCAUCCAACCCAGUUCAACCCAUGAGAGCUGAAGAUCCCCCGAUUCUUGAAGGUUACCCGGUCUCUACCAGAGGAGAAAAGAAGGUUUGGAAACUCCCGAAAGGAUCCAUAGUCUUGGAAGGAAUUCCAAUCUUCCCUCAGGCUAUGAAUAAGCAAGAGCACCCCGAGUCCUCCCAAGAUCCCCGCCGGAGUUGUUUGAGCCCCUUACCAUGAAGAAGAUUCCAGCACCAUCCCUUGAAGUCAAGGAAGAAGCUGCAAGCACCCCGCCAACACCGCUGCCCUCUGAGGAACUACAAGAGUCAGUCCAGCUUGAAGAAGAGUUCGACCCCGUGCUGCCAUCUCAGUUGCCGACAGAAGAAGUAAUGAACAUCAGCUCCCUCUUGACCCAUCCAGGAGAUGUCUCAGAUUGAAGUUGUGCGCCAGCCUUGCCAGAAGAGAAGUUGUCUGGUCUGAAGUUAGUUAUGCCCAGUCCUCUACAUGCAUUGGGUAGUGAAGUUUUUCUUCACUUUGGCUAGAGCCCUACAUGUAUGAGAGGUAAUCGCGUAGACUCGUGUUUUGCAAAACUCUAAUUGUGUGGCCCCCUAGGGCAUUUCAAAAUGAAUUUCGCUUGAUGUUUUCUCCCCUUUUGAGUGCAUAUGUGAUGCUUUAACGUUAGUGCUCAUAAGUCGCAUUUUAGCAUAGUUCUCAGUUCAGGAGCCGAGCAAUAGUAGUUAUGCUUAGCCCCCGAAUCCAAGUAGUUCGUGAUUUGGAAAAACUCUAUUCUUCCCUUAUUCAAAACAUUUGAUUUGUUUGUGCUUAUCAUUGCUGAACUUAUGUGUUUUCUUUCUUUUUAAGAAAGGUUUUCUCUAAAAACAUAAAUCACAAAUUAGAUCUAAUCCUCACCUUAUGCUUCCAUUCUCAUCUUAACCAAUCUCAAGAGAAAAGUGCCUUACCCAAGAAGAUACCGGGAAGCUUACCCUUGAAGCCUGGAAUAAGCUAUAGAAGAAACCAGUCCAGCCGCUCAGUCAAAAGGACCGACCAUGAGAAUCAAAGCACUGCCCCUGAGUCAAAGUAAACAGAAAAAGAGGACAGAAGGAGUUAUUACCAUAUAGAGAGGCAAAGAUUCUUGGAACCAGAGACCACAAACAUCAGGGUCAUCGACCCCACCACUCACCCGUGCCCCCGCACGCAUGCCCGCCUCCAUGCGCACUACCACGCCCCCCUUUGCAGCGCACCCACCGCCAUCGUCGCCGGCAACAGGCCCCCCUUCCCCUUGUCACACCUGCUGCCUCGUGUCACCUGCUCCAUCACUACCACUCCACACCCCCCAAGCACCCCCGCUCGCCUAUAAAACCCCCCACCAGCACCCUCAACUCCCAUCUCGCUCAAAGCAAAGCACACUCCAGAUAAAACCCCCUCUGCUAAAUCGCAAGCAACCCCAUUUCCCACUCCCUCGCCCCUAAGAUCACAAUGCUUGGUGAUUCUUGGGUUGAAGACUGUUGCACAUGGUUCAUAGUCUUUGGUUUCCUCCAGUGUAUGAUGGUAAUACUCUUUGAUAGAAUCCUCCAGUGGGAAGAGCAAAGAGAAAGAAAGAGACAGUGAAAAGUGAAAAGAGAAAAGAAGAUAGCAAAGAGAAGAUGAGAAGAAGGUUGUCCCAGAAUCAACCCUGUGUCAGUCAUUUCUCCGCAGCCUGCUCAAGCAACAACAGCACAAGAAGGCCCCAUAACACCCUUGUUAUGAGGUACUUCAAAGAGUUCAAAUCCCCAAGAUUCAAUAGUUCCACCCUCAUUCUUUUUAAGUGGGGUAGUGUUCCAGUAAGGUUCCUGCUAUGGAGAAAAAGAAGAAGGCCUGUAGCAAGCUUGUGGAGGACCAGAUCAUCGAAGCAUAUAAGUUCCUGGAUGAGAAGUGGUCACCCAAGUUUUGUUGAUGAAGCACCAGAAGACCAAUCAAGGAAGGAAUCCAUGUGGGAGUUCGCGAGAGAAAGGUUGCAUGUUGGCAUCGUUGCUUCUUCAAUAAGCUAGCUGCCAAGCGAAAGCUAGAAGCCUGAAGAUGAUCUUUGAUUAGCCAGAAUCAGCGUUUGCAAUCAGCAACCGGAUGCCCCUCAAAGGCCAGAUUUUGUUGAAGCUCUAUCUUCUCGAAAAGUUUGCAAAGUGAAGAUAUGUAGCUGAAGUAAAGAUAUACACAUAACCCUUCUAAGCCGAAUCUUGAGGACAAGAUUCCUUUUAAGUGGGGUAGAUUUGUAGCAUCCCAAAAAUUCAAAUUCUAAAUAUUCUCAAACUCGCUCUAAAUUCAAAAUGAAUUUCAAAUUUUGUUUCAAAAUGUUUGUUUGCAAGUUGAUAUCAACAAGUAAAGUACAGUGGUCUAUAUUCUCUCCAAAAUCCUCCUACAAAUAUUUCCCCAGUGAUCCCCCUCAAAUUCUUCCAGAAAUACCGCCCAGAUAUUUCCCGAGUGAUCCCCUUCAAGUUCUUUCAGAAAUACUACCCAAAUAUUCCACCGAUAUAUCUCCAAGUAUUUUCUUCCUAAGAAAUACCUUCAGAAUCAUUUUUCAAGCCCCCACAAAUAUUUUCUUCAUAACUUUCUUCAUGCUCAUACGUAUACGUAUGCCUCCGGUGUCAUACGUUGAGCUCUACAAGCUAAUUACACUCAUAUAAGACAAAUCCAUGCUAAUCUCCCACUAAUCCUCUCAUCCUGCCACUAAUCCUCUCAUCCCUCCCCCUAAUCCCCCCACCAUGGCUAUAAAUAGAGGGGCAAGGGCCUCCUCUCAUCCCACCCAAAGCCAUUUCAUGGCAACUCCCUCUCUCCCCCCCACACACCCACUCCAUGUUCCACACAAGCACACACUAGCACAAGGAUCGUUCGGUCGUUCUUCGAUCGUUCGUCCCCCUGUUCUUAGUUGUUCGUUCGUUCGUCCGAUCGUUUGAUCGUUCGUCCGAUCGUUCAUGGUUCGUUCGUCCGUUCGUCCGAUCGUUCGUCCGUUCGUUCGUCCAAAUAAUCUUUUUCCUGCCGUUAUGCUGCCGAAAUUCCGUUCGUCCGUUCGUUCGAUCAUUCGAUCGUUCAUCGUUCGUUCAUAGUUCCUAUUCAUCGUUCAUCGUUUAUUCAUCGUCACUAUUUUACCGUCACUAUUUACCGUUACUAUUUACCGUCACUAUUUUACCGUGACUAUUUUACCGUUACUAUUUACCGUUACUAUUUACCGUUACUAUUUCCCGUUACUAUUUCCCGUCACUAUUUUACCGUCACUAUUUUACCGUUACUAUUUACCGUCACUAUUUACCGUUACUAUUUACCGUCACUAUUUUACCGUUACUAUUUACCGUUACUAUUUACCGUUACUAUUCAUCGAUCAUCCGAUCAACCCAAAUUUCAACUACUCAUCCAUCAUGCUGUCCAGUCCACCUAAGACCAGCCAGACCCAUAUUCCAGUUAUACAAACUCCGGUGACUGUGAUUUUCCUUCCAGUGGGAACUUCCCAUCUGGUUACCCAUCCUAGGUUUCUCCAAGUUGAGCACGCUUAACUUGAGAUUCCUUCGAACCAGGCUUCCAAACUCAGAUUCCAAUAAUUCUCGUUUCUAAAUUCUUAUCAAAUUAUUCCCUAUCCAACCAUGUCAUCCCUUAAGCAUGGUUCAUAUUCCAGAAAACUCCCAAAAUACUCUCAUAUUCUGCCUAUAACUCUCCUAUUCAUACUAAGUCAGACGAUUCAUUCGUCACUAUUCUCACCAACAGUGAACUUCACUGUGCUACACCACAUACACCCAGCUACCCUCUCCCUCUCCACACACACUCAACACCCUCAGCCAAGGAAAACACCCCACCCACUUAGUUACUCCGCUCUGCCGGCUACACGCAUAGUGUCGCUUCGCCUCUAGUCCACCCUCUUGUUAUCGGAGCGUUCGUGUCGUCUCGUGGAGGCCAGAUCUGCAAGUCUACGCCAGACGGUGGAGCCAGAAGCCAGUUCCGCGAGCUCUUCUUCCCCCUUCGCCGAAUAAGCACGGCAAGCUCACUGGAUCCCUUUGAUGCAUAAAUUACCUAUGCUUUUACAACCACAACCCUCAGCCUGUUAUUUUAUGCAUGAUAUGAUUUUGAGACAAGUUAUUAUGGCCACCCAACCGCUUGCCGCAAUCAAUACUUGAUAUAUUUGUUACAAAUGAUUUGAGAAAAGGUGUGAGUUUUCAAAAGAAAAUGCUUUUCAAAAUGUGUAUGAUGAAGUGUUUUCACCCUUAUCACCUUGUGAGUGGGAUAAUCAGGGACUCCCUGGUUUAGGGGAGGGCCUAAGGUGAAGGCUCAGCUGGUUUAGGCGUGAGCAGAAGGAUUGUCCCCUCAUAUAAGGACCGGUUUGUCAUCUUUCACUACCUGUACUCAUGAUAAGUACAACCACUCGAGACUGUGUGGGUAGUCACUCAAUCUGAACUCGUACGGUCCAACCCCAGGGUUAUGAAGGCUGGGGAGCACCGGGAGGAUAAGGAGGGGGAAUGUUUUGUCCGGUUUGGACAUGGUGGUGGCCUGACUCCUUCCGGUAUAACCGUUAAGGUUAGGAUGUGCGAGGAAAGAAAGAGAUUCGGCAUUCGGGUCUCACGACGGUGAGAUCGCAGAAACCGGACUAGUGGGUAAAGUGUACACCUCUGCGCAGAGUUUGAAAACCUAUUCGAAUAGUCCGUGUCCACAGGAAUGGACGAGUCUGGUAUGGUAUGGCAAUUAAUGUUUUGUUUUCAUAAAAGGCUACGUUUGAGAAAAUGUUUUUUAAAAAAGGUUCGGCGGUUGAGCCGUGAGCUAUGGUGGACGGGAAGUCCAGUAGCUGUUUUUGAAAAUGAAAACCAGUGGGAAACUACUGAGAUACCUGGAUGGUUUAGUCCAGGGGAUUUUGUUCUAAUAUUGAAAAACUUCUCGCUCCUUUGGGAGAGGAUGCGCUUUGGAAAAUACAAAAUGUUUUACAAAACAACCCUGCAAAAAAUAUUGCUGUUUCUGCAAAAUAUCCUGAGCUCCAGAUAUUCCAUGCAUUAUAUCUGAUUUCCCCAUUCCGCGGGUGAAGGUGGGCUGCUGAGUACGUUUGUACUCACCCUUACUUAUUUAUUUUUUUUCAGAAGAAGGAGAUCGGGUAAGAGUUACGACUGUUCCCAACCUUGCUUGUGGCUGCUGGGCCGCUGAUUUGCUUCGCUGCGUAUAUCGGGCUGCUUCAGCCCCACUCUGAUGAUAUGUCCCGAGUUGUGGACCAACUCUUAAAGUUGAUCGCCACCUUUAUAGGUUUGUCUCGUUUAAGCAGAUCUGUAAUCAUCUGAUGUAUAAAUGUGUUUACUAGCCUCCUGGGACUAGUAAUUGUAUCACAUUUGAGUCCCAGAGGAUUGGGGCGCUUCACUAAUAAGUGUGCAUCCCCAGUAUCCCAAUUGAUCAAAGAUAUAAGAAUAUAUCAAAAGCACUUAAGUGAAACCACUUAAGCAAACCAUUGGUAGAUCAUCAGAUCUUGAUUUAUUGUCCAUCUUUAAGUUCAAUUAUCAUGUGAGGGUCAACGUUGCUCUUAACCGUGAGCAUGGCUGACAUAUCAGUUUUACACUCUACAGAGGUGGUACAACUUUACCCAUAAGCCAUGUAUACCAUCUAGCCUGGGUUGAUUGGACCCGUAAACACUGCCGAGGUGAAUGCCUAGGGAUCCAUUAUGAGGCUUUCACAAAUAUCCUUAGUACAAAGCCACCCGCUAAGGUUUCCACGUCAGUAUUAAUGGCCCUGUAGUGAGGUAACUUAGCCAAGACUACCACCCCAUGUUAACAUGAGCUGCCACCAAACCACUGCCGCCCCCUCUUGCCCAUCUUUCAGGUAGGGUUGCUAAGCACUAAGUCUAUAGAGCUAAUUAUCAAAGCUAGAGCCAUGAUAGCACUCGUGGUUGCACUGUUAUCUUGGAUGGUCACUCCAUGCUCCAUUUAACACAAAAUGUUCUUGUUUAACCAUCGGGUUAACAUCAUAAUAAAACUUCAUUUCCGGAACAUAGUAUCAUUAAAAGAGUGACAUCAUAUUCAUCAUGUUGAGCAAUAGCAAAAAUUGAUAAGCAAAGCAUUUAUCCCAGGGUAAUUCACGGAAUAGGGUUGGUAAUUCUAGGAAAUCCUUAUUUAGGCAAAUCCCAUCAAAUUAUGCAAUAUAUCCAAAAAGUAAACAUUAUUAUAUGCAUUAAUUGGGUACAAAUAGAAUAUGUAGAGGGAGAAUCCACUUGUCUUGCUCGAAAGUGUCCUGUGGGUCAUCCUCGAACGAGUUUGGUUCGUCUACCUCACAGUCAACUUCUAGCAUCGAUUUGCGUAUCGUACAUACAAAAAGAAUACGUUCGCCAAAUAAAUAAACACACGCCAUUACAGGGGUAAUCAUUCACCAUUACAUUCACAUUCAUGCAUCACACAUUUAUACUCAUAAAUACGUUUUAAAGCGUAAAUACUUAUUAAUCCAUUAUGACUACUACUGUGAGUUAUUAUUGGUGAAAAUAUGAGUAAGUGACUAUGACACUAGUUUUAUCUAGUAAAAUAUAGAUAAACAUAUAUUAACAAUUUUUAUGGAAAAUAAUUGCUAAUCAUUUUCUUUCUUACUAAUAAUAGACUUUUGAGUUUUAUCCCUUUUAUUUCUAAAUAGAAAUGAUAUGUGUAGCUAAAAAUCAUUUAUUUAUAAUUCUUCUAACAUUAAUAUUCUAAGAAUUAAUGUAAAUUACUAAUUGGAAUUUUAAUAACAUAAUCAUGGUUAUUAUGACAUCAACAAGUAUUUUACUAAUUCUAAGUAAUCAAGUGCUAUACUUAUGAAUACAUUUAUCAUGACUAGCAAAAUUUAUAUUUUCCAUCUGACCGAGAAUACGUGGCCUAGUAUUUCUUCUACUUUCUUUUAUCAAUAAAAUUAUACUUAAAACACUACUAACAAUUAUCAUUCAUGUGCUAAAGCGAGAUCAAUCAUAAUCGUCUCUAGUAUAAAAAUAACCAAGUUAGUGACUAGUGACGUAAUUUAUUUUUGAAAUAUAAAUUCAUACACCUGUCAAAAUAUUUUUGCAAGGCUUGUUUAUGAUUACACGUAUACGUCGGAGCCUCUUUUCGGUAAUUUCUAAACUAAAAAUCUCGAAAUUAAUUUAAUUUACAAAACUAGGAACUAAAAUGUAAAAUGUGCUUCUUCUACCUUGAGCUAGAGCUCACGAGCGGGGAUGGAGAUCGACGGGGGAGGGAGUUCGGCCGGGCAGAGGAGAAGGGACUCAGUCGUGGGGCGCGGACGGGGGAACGGGCGCGGACGGCGAGGUUCGACGACAAAGCUCCGGCGAGGCGCGGACGGUGGGGCAGACGGUCCGACGGACGGGCGAGCGCGGGCAAAUUCGAGAGCGAGGAGAGCGAGAGAGAGAGAGAAAGCUCAGGGAGGGAGAGAGGAAGGGAGUCCGGCUGCUUUUAUAGAGCGAGAGGGGAGAGGAGAGGGCGAGCCGGGAAGAGAAACGACCGGUCUUCAACUCCAUCAAUGGUGGCGGCCAUUAACGACGCCAUUAGGGAGAGAACGUGGGGGAGGGAGAGAUAGGGUCGGGCGGCGGUUUCCGGCUCAGUGUGGCGCGGAUGUCGAGGGCGCGAGGCGUGCGGGCGCGACGCGGUGGCGGCGACGCGGGAGGGAGAAGAGAGAGGGGGCCGCGGUGGGGCCCAUCCGUAAGAGAGAGGGAGGGGAUAGGGCGCGGCCGGUUGGGCCCUGGUGGGCCGAAAUGGCCGGUCGGCUAGGGUUUCUUUCUUUCUUUCUUUUCUUUUCUAUUUAAAAAUAUAAAUAUAUUUAAAAAUCAUAAUUAUUAUACCAAAAUUAUUUAUAACUAAAAUAAUUAUUUUUGGACCAAUAUUUUUAUAUUAAUUAAUUGGAUUUAUAAUAUAGAAGAAAUUCUAUUCAACGUCCAAAAAUCAAAUAUGAGCAAACAAAAUUAUUCUAAAUGUAAAUAAACAUCGAACACUUGAAUGAAAAUUCAUUACCAUAUUUACCAUUAAUAAACUAAAUGCAUUAUUUUUAGUUGAUGGUUUUUAUAGUGUUACAAACCUACCCCCUUAAAAGAAUCUCGUCCUCUAGAUUAAGGAACUUCUGAGAAUAACUGGGGAAAUUCUGCUCUGAGUUUAUCUUCUCUUUCCCAAGUGGCCUCAUCUUCCAAAUGAUGACUCCACUAAACUUUGCACAUGUUGACAACUUUACUCCGUGUAAUUCUGCGAGAUGUUUCCAAAAUUCUAAUAGGGUACUCCGAAUAAGUCAAAUCCUCCUUAACAUUGAGUUCUUCCAUAGGAAAUUGUUCCUCCGGUACUCUUAAGCAUUUAUUAAGUUGUGACACAUGAAAUACGUCAUGCACAUCCAUCAAACUAUCGGGUAGCUCUAACUGGUACGCUACUUCACCUUUUCUUUCCAAAAUCUUGAACGGGCCAAUGUAGCGAGGACAUAGUUUACCCUUAACCUUAAAUCUUUUCAUGCCUCUCAUCGGUGAAAGUUUAAGGUAUACGAAGUCUCCUACUUCAAAUAUCAAUUCUCUUCUUCUAUUGUUAGCAUAGCUUUUCUAUCUCGACUGUGCUGUUUUCAGAUUCUCUCUGAUAAUAUGUACUUGCUUUUCUGCUUCUUGGAGAAUUUCUAGACCAAAUACUUGACUUUCUCCGGUCUGGUUCCAAUAAAGCGGUGUUUCUACACUUUCGUCCAUAAAGUGCUUCAAACGGUGCUAUUUUUAAACUUGCCCAGUAACUAUUGUUAUACGAGAAUUCUGCAUAAGGCAAACUUUUAUUCCAGCUUCUACCAAGCUUUAGAGCGCAAGCUUUUAGCAUAUCUUCCAACACUUGGUUUGUUCUUUCCGUUUGCCCAUCCGUUUGCGAAUGAUAAGCUAAACUAAAGUUUAGCUUGGUAUCCAUGGACUCAUGUAGUAUUUUUCCAAAAGUGUGAGGUAAAUUGGGUUCCUCGAUCCGAUAAGAUCUUCUUUGGUACUCCGUGCAGACAAACAAUUCUUGACAUGUAUAACUCUGCUAACUGGGCUCCUAAGUAAGUUGUUUUUACAGGUAUAAAGUGUGCCACUUUAGUCAACCUGUCCACUAUAACCCAUAUUGAAUCAUAGCCAUCCCGAGUACGGGGUAGUCCAACUAUGAAAUCCAUAGUGAUUCCUUCCCAUUUCCAUUCCGGUACUUUGAGAAGUUGUAGCAAUCCUGCUGGUCUUUGAUGUUCGACAUUUAACUUGUUGACACACGUCACAUAGUGCAACAUGAGUAGCCACAUCUCUUUUCAAACUGUACCUCCAAUACUUUUCCUUAAGAUCCUGGUACAUCUUAGUACUUCUAGGGUGAAUAGAAUAAGUUGAAUCAUGGGCUUCUCUUAAGAUAAGUUGGCGUAGGUGCUAGAUUUCUGGUACACAAAUUCUCUUUUUAAACCAUACUGUGCCUUGAUCAUCUUCUGUGAAAUAUGGGGCUUUUCCCAAACUAAUUUGUGUCUUAAUUUCCUUGAUUUUCUCAUUAGUCUCCUGUCCUUUACGAAUCUCUUCUUCUAAAGUAGAUUCAACUUCCAUAACUGUUGCUUCCAUAUUAUUGAGCAUACCAAGGUUGAGUUGUUCCAUCUCCCAGCACAAUUCUUGUGACAUCAAAUGAGUAGUGAUGUUGUUCACUUGACCUUUACGACUCAAAGCGUCAGCCACUACAUUUGCUUUACCUGGGUGAUAUUGUAUUUCCAAAUCAUAGUCCUUGAUUAACUCAAGCCAUCUUCUUUAUCUUAAGUUGAGUUCUUUCUGCGUGAAGAUGUAUUUCAAGCUUUUGUGAUCCGUGAAGAUUUUACACUUGUUUCCAAUCAUGUAGUGCCUCCAAAUCUUCAAAGCGUGCACUACGACAGCCAAUUCCAAGUCAUGUGUAGGGUAAUUCUUUUCAUGUUUUAGUAACUGCCUUGAAGCAUAGGCAAUCACUUUUCCUUCUUGCAUUAACACACAUCCAAGUCCUAGAUGUGAUGCAUCGCAAUACACAUCAAAUCCUUUAUGAAUAUCAGGCAUGAUUAACACUGGUGCAGUGGUUAGCCUUUCCUUUAAUUCCUCGAAACAUUUCUGACAUGCUUCAUCCCACUUGAACUCUUUACCUUUCUCCAAUAGUGAAGUAAGAGUUUCACUAUUUUUGAGAAGCCUUCAAUAAAUCUUCUGUAGUAUCGUGCUAAUCCAAGAAAACUUCUGAUCUUGGACACAUCUGUGGGUUCUUUCCAAUUUAGUAUCUCACUUAUUUUACCAUGGUCUACUUUGAUUCCUCCAUUGGUGAUAAUAUGACCUAGGAAAGCAACUUUAGCAAAAAAAUCACACUUCAAAAAUUUCGCAUACAACUAAUUGUCGUGAAGCUUCUGUAGAACUAAUCUCAGAUGAUCUUCAUGUGCUUCUUCAUUCUGAGAGUAUACUAGUAUGUCGUCAAUGAAUACCACUACAAACCGGUCAAGGUAUUCCAUGAAUACUUUAUUCAUCAAGUUCAUAAAGUAUGUUGGUGCAUUAGUCAGUCCAAAAGACAUGACUAAAAACUCAUAUAGUCCAUAUCUUAUGGUGAAAGCUGUUUUAGGUAUAUCUUCAGUCCGUAUCUUCAACUGAUGAUAGCUUGAUCUUAGAUCUAUCUUUGAAAUAUUGUAGCUCCUCUCUUCUAAUCAAACAGAUCUUCAAUCCAAGGUAACGGGUACUUAUUCUUAAUCGUUACUUCGUUCAAACUUCUAUAGUCCACACACAUUCUCCUUGAACCAUCUUUCUAGUUCACGAAUAGAACUGGGGCUCCCCAUGGUGAUGAACUGGGGCGAAUAAAACCUUUUUCUAGUAAUUCUUCUAUUUGUUUCUUCAGUUCAAUUAAAUCUUUGACAUCCAUUCGGUAAGCUCUUUUUGAAAUUGGUGCAGUUCCGGAUAAUAGUUCAAUAGAAAACUCUAUAUCAUGAUCAGGUGGCAUACCUGGUAAUUCCUCUGGAAAUACGUCUGGGUAUUCACACACUAUCCUGAUGUGCUCCAAAGAUUUGUCUUCCAACUGAUUUAUCAUUGUCUCUGCUGUUGCUGGCAUACUGACAUUGACUUCAAUUCUUUCUCCUUGUGGACUAGUUAAUGUAACCAUCCUCUUGGCACAAGAUAUCACUCCAUCAUACUUGGUCAAGUAGUCUAUUCCGAGUAUCACCUUGAUUCCACUUGAUCCCAAAAUUAUUAGCUCUACUAGAAAACUUAGGCCUCUAAUUUCAAUCUUAGUCUGAGGGCAUGAGUGAGUAGCUCUAAGUUCACCUCCUAGUGAUCGAAUUAAUAGUUUCUUCUUCAAGGGAUAGUUUGGUAUAUUAUGUUUUCCACAAAUGACUGUUACGAAGGAGUGAGAUGUUCCAGAAUCAAAUAAAACUGAUGCAGGUAUGAAGUUAAUAAGAAAUAUACUAUACACCACGUCAGCAUCCUUAGGAACUAAUUCUGCUGUCAAAUGGUUGACUCUUCCUCUACUCUGGUUCUGCGGAGUCCUGUUCUGUGCAGAUCCACGAGCAGGUGUGUUCUGGUUAGUCCUUUGGUUGUUCUUCUUCUGGGGUGUCUGUGGGUUAUGCCUAGGGGCAGUUGUUGGCAUAAUGGCCAAGUUCGCCACACUUAAAACAACCAUUGGGUUGAACAGGAGUAGUUGCAUUGUUGUUCAUGGCCGGUGUGUUCACGAUGCUUCCCUGACGAUUCUACUGUUGCCCACUAGACCUUUGGUCGGUCUAGGUGUUGCUUCUCUGCUAGUUCUGGUAUUGAUUGUUCCUCUGACUUUGUUGUCCAGAGCGUUGUGCUUGAUAGUUGUUGUUCCCACUCUGGUUUCCGGAGCGGAACUGAGAACCUUAGGAGUUGUUUUGUCGGGUAUUUCUGCCGGUCUGCCCUUGGUACUUCCUCUUGUGGUCGGACAGUUCUUUCCUUUUGUUCUCAAGGCCAAUUGCCUUUUUCAGUGAAGUCUAGAAAUUAGGGAAACUGUGGCUCUGUAGCUGGUAGUUGAAUGGUCCAAUCAAGCCUUCCAAGAAACAUUCUCGUCGGUGUCCACUUCCUCUGGGGCGUAACGUGAAAGAUGGGUGAAGCGAUCACGAUACUCACUAACAGACAUGUUCCCUUGAGUGAGGGAAAGGAAAUCCUUCUUAAGCUUCAUAAUUCUUGAGGGAAUGUGAUGAGCGUGGAAGUUCACUUGGAACUCCUGCCAGGUUAUGGCAUCACCAUUGGCGUGUGCCGCAGUGAAGGCAUCCCACCAAUCGGACGUGGUUCCUUCGAGUCUUCUCGAGGCAUACAAGAACUUUUCUCGGUCAUUGCACUGGGUGAUGUCUAACUUCUUUCCAAUGAGCUUAAGCCAGUCAUCAGCAUCCAAAGGGUCUACUGCGUGAGAGAAAGCAUGCGGGUGAUGACUCAUGAAGUCCCGAUGCUUGUCUAUAGCUUGGGGUGCGUGCUGCUAUUGUUGUUGGUACAAUUGGUUUUGCUGAUUCUGUUGAAUUUGCUGUACCGAAGCUGUAAGUCCUUGCAGAAGUUGCAUCUACGCUGCGACGAACUGAUCCAUCGUGGGAUUGGGUGGUGUUGGCGGUAAUUGCUGACCACGCUGAUGGUUAUUGGGACCUGAUCGAGUGUUCACCAUCUGUUUGGUUAGAAAGUGCACUCCCAGGGUAAGUAAGGAGUAGAGAAGAUUCUAAGGGAAAUAGCUUAUUAUUAAGGUUAAGUUCAUUGUUAUAUUAUUUUUAUGCUCUUAUGACCAUCAUUCCAUAAGACCAUUGCACUCAAGCAAAAAUCCAAAUCAAACAUUUCAAGCAACACCAUCACAUGGUUGUUAUUAUUAAUAGUGUAAUAAUAUAAAGAUGUUUUUCGUCUAUCGUGGAAACUAACUUAUUACAACAUAAAUGAAAAAUCUAAAGCAGCCUGGUGAUGGAUCCUGGUUCUCCAUAGCGGAUCCUCAUGUGGGGAGGGGAUAACGCCAUGGCAGGGACUUGAACUUCAGGGGGAUUCCUUCCAUCGAGCUGAGCUUCCAGUGCUGCGAUCCUUCAUGUGCAUCCUCCAGCUCCAAGUGUACCCUAGAGAGGUCCAGAGUAGCACUAUCUAGGUCGGCGUUAAGACCUGCCACCACACCAGCUAAGGUGUUGAGGCAAUCUUCAUUUGCUCCACCUGGAACAAUGCUAGUCUGGUUCUCUCCACGAAUACGUAGAGGAAGAUGCCUGUACUUCGUAUUGUGCAGCUGCUAUCGGUAGGUGUGGCUGAGAGACCACAGAGUUUGCCUAGCAGCAUCGCUGACCGAAGCAACGUAGGUGGAUAGCGACGUCAGAGACUCAUGUGCUGACAGAGUCCUGAAUCCUCUAUCACUUGCAUCCAUUACCCUGACAUGAAUAUGAGUGAUGUAGUAGCAUGCCCGAGGAGGCUCGUACACUCACCUGGUCUCAUAUAGGGGUCAGACAUAGGUUCCCAACUCGUGCAGAACAUCCUGCAGUAGGUUAGGGAAGUGCCCUGUCUCGAACAUUGAGGUGUAAUGUUCAGUGACAGGCCAUAACCCCAUGUAGUGGUCCUACUGUUCUUCGUUGGCUUCAUCGUUGAGGUUUUCCUCAUCUUCAUCUUCUUCUUCUUCCUCGUCGUCUUCAUCAUCGUCACAAGAGUCGUCUAGGUCGUCGCCUCCAGGAGCAGGGGCUUGGACUGCUGGUGCUGGCGGUGCUGAAGCUGACAAUCCAGCUGCGAAGGCUAGUUAUUUUGCCAACGGGGUGGACGUAGGCAGAAACUCUUCCGAGCUGUCCUCCAGAAUGACUCCGUUCUCCACCCGAAUGCGAGGGAGAUCCACAGGAAUUUACUCGACUACCACUGGGUAGACAGGAACUUGCCGUGGCGGAGGGAUGAAGUUGGUGUUGAUCCGAGUGUUUGAAUGGUACAGACCAUCUAUAAGAGAAAAUGUCAACUUAGUUGAUGUUUAAAGAGGUAAGGUUAAUAAAAUAAUUUUGUAAGAACAAAAUUAGCAUGUUUUGAACAGACUAGGCUUUCCAUUUCUAACUAAUCUAAUGACCUAGAGUCAGCAUAGCUUUGAAACCACUUUUGUCACACCCGGUUUUGGGGGCAAAACCGAAUGCAUAGCAUAUGUGGGCCAGGAUCCAUUUCCCACACAAAUGUUGACAUCACAAGUGUAAUAUAUCAAAAGACAAUGCAAUAAAGGCAUAAAGAGAGUAGAGUACAUAAUUACAUCAUCUGAAUCAUUGUAUCUUUAACAAGUAUCAAAAUCAAAGUAGGGCGGAAUUAAAUAUGGUCACUAUUUCACAGGAAGGUGACUGGCGCAUCGUUAAACUUAAAACUCAUCAUCGUCAUCAGCGAAGUCUUCAGCAUCACCCUCUGAUAAAAAUAUUAGCAAGGGUGAGCUCACUUAUGGUCGGGGCUUAGCAAGUGGGGGAAAUUAAUGCAAUUUAACAAGGUAGGCUAUGGAUAAGCGGUAAGCAUUUUAGUUGGUCAAUAUUUUAUUAGCAACACCUGUAUUACUAAUAAGUGUGUAUCCCAAGUAUCCCAACUAAUCAAUGAUAUAAGAAUAUAUCAAAAGCACUUAAGUGAAACCACUUAAGCAACCAUUGGUAGAUCAUCAGAUCUUGAUUUAUUGUCCAUCUUUAAGUUCAAUUGUCAUGUGAGGGUCCAGGUUGAUCUUAACCGUGAGCACGACUGACAUAUCAGUUUUACACUCUUCAGAGGUGGUACAACUUUACCCACAAGCCAUGUAUCCCAUCUAGCCUGGGUUGAUCGGACCCGUAAGCACUGCCGAGGUGAAUGGCUAGGGAUCCAUUAUGAGGCUUCCACAAAAUAUCCUUAGUACAAAGCCACCCGCUAAGGUUUCCACGUCAGUAUUGAUGGCCCUCUGGGUGAGGUAACUUAGCCAAGACUACCACCCCAUGUUAACACAAGCUGCCACCAAGCCACUGCCGCUCCCUCUUGCCCAUCUUUCAGGUAGGGUUGCUAAGCACUAAGUCUAUAGAGCUAAUUACCAAAGCCAGAGCCAUGAUAGCACUCGUGGUUGCACUGUUAUCUUGGAUGGUCACUCCAUGUUCCAUUUAACACAAAAUGUUCUUGUUUAACCAUCGGGUUAACAUCAUAAUAAAACUUCAUUUCCAGAACAUAGUAUCAUUAAAAGAAUGACAUCAUAUUCAUCAUGUUGAGCAAUAGCAAAAAUUGCUAAGCAAAGCAUUUAUCCCAAGGUAAUUAAAGGAAUAGGGUUGGUAAUUCUAUAAAAUCCUUAUUUAGGCAAAUCCCAUCAAAUUAUGCAAUAUACCCAAAAAGUAAAAAAUAUUAUAUGCAUUAAUUGGGUACAAAUAGAAUAUGCAGAGGGAGAAUCCACUUGCCUUGCUCGAAAGUGUCCUGUGGGUCGUCCUCGAACGAGUUUGGUUCAUCUGCCUCACAGUCAACUUCUAGCAUCAAUUUGCGUAUCGUACAUAUAAAAAGAAUACGUACGCCAAAUAAAUAAACACACACCAUUACAGGGGUAAUCAUUCACCAUUACAUUCACAUUCAUACAUCACACAUUUAUACUCAUAAAUACAUCUUUAAGCGUAAAUACUUGUUAAUCCAUUAUGACUACUAGUGUGAGUUAUUCUUGGUGAAAAUAUGAGUAAGUGACUAUGACACUAGUUUUAUCUAGUAAAAUAUAGAUAAACAUAUAUUAACAAUUUUUAUGGAAAAUAAUUGGUAAUCAUUUUCUGUAUUACUAAUAAUAGACUUUUUAGUUUUAUCCCUUCUAUUUCUAAAUAGAAAUUAUACAUAUAGCUACAAAUCAUUUAUUUAUAAUUCUUCUAACAAUAAUAUUCUAAGAAUUAAUGUAAAUUACUAAUUGGACUUUUAAUAACAUAAUCAUGGUUAUUAUGACAUCAACAAAUAUUUUACUAAUUCUAAGUAAUUAAGUGCUAUACUUAUGAAUACAUUUAUCAUGACUAGCAAAAUUUAUAUUUUCCAUCUGAUCGAGAAUAUGUGGGCUAGUAUUUCUUCUACUUUCUUUUAUCAAUAAAAUUAUACUUAAAACACUACUAACAAUUAUCGUUCAUGUGCUCAAGCGAGAUCAAUCGUAAUCGUCUCUAGUAUAAAAAUCCCCAAGUUCGUGACUGGUGACGUAAUUUAUUUUUGAAAUAUAAAUUCAUACACCUGUCAAAAUAUUGUUGCAAGGCUUGUUUACGAUUACACGUAUACGUUGGAGUCUCUUCUCGGUAAUUUCUAAACUGAAAAUCUCAGAAUUAAUUUAAUUUACAAAACUAGGGACUAAAAUGUAAAAUGUGCUUCUUCUACCUUGAGCUAGAUCUCACGAGUGGAGAUGGAGAUCGACGGGGGAGGGAGUUCGGCCGGGCAGGGGAGCAGGGGCUCGGUCGUGGGGCGCAGAUGGGGGAACGGGCACGGACGACGAGGUUCGACGGUGAAGCUCCAGCGAGGCAUGGGCGGCGGGGCGGACGGUCCGGCGGACGGGCGAGUGCGGGUGAAUUCGAGAGCGAGGAGAGCGAGAGAGAGAGAGAAAGCUCGGGGAGGAAGAGAGGAAGGGAGUCCGACCACUUUUAUAGAGCGAGAGGGGACAGAAGAGGGCGAGCCGGGGAGAGAAACAGUCGGCCUUCAACGCCAUCAAUGGCGGCGGCCAUUAAUGGCGCCAUUAGGGAGAGAAUGUGGGGGAGGGAGAGGGUCGGGCGACGGUUUCCGGCUCGGCGUGGAGCGGACGUCGAGGGUGCGGGGCGCGUGGGCGCGACGCGGUGGCGGCGGCGCAGGAGGGAGAAGGGAGGGAGAAGAGAGAGGGGGCCGCGGUGGGGCCCACCUGUAAGAGAGAGGGAGGGGAGGAGGGUUAGGGCGCGCGGCCGGUUGGGCCCUGGUGGGCCGAAAUGGCCGGUCGGCUAGGGUUUCUUUCUUUAUUUUUUUCUUUUCUUUUCUAUUUAAAAAUAUAAAUAAAUAUAUUUAAAAAUCAUAAUAAUUAUACCAAAAUUAUUUAUAACUAAAAUAUUUAUUUUUGGACCAAUAUUUCUAUAUUAAUUAAUUGGAUUUUCAAUAUAGAAGAAAUUCUAUUCAACGUCCAAAAAUCAAAUAUGAGCAAACAAAAUUAUUCUAAAUGUAAAUAAAAAUCAAACACUUGAAUGAAAAUUCAUUGCCAUAUUUACCAUUAAUAAACUAAAUGCAUUAUUUUUAGUUGAUGGUUUUUCUAGUGUUACACAUGGUCAACCUGGUCGUCAUGCUCAACACUGAGAUGGACCACGCCCUUGACGAGUUUGGCAAGGCUUGGAAGGAGAUUGUGGAACUGCAUGCUGAUCGUGCGGAGCGCCGCCAUCAGGAGGAUGGUUCCCCCUGUUGGGACUCAACACUCUUACCGUUCGCCGCCCCUUGGUCAUCAUGCUUAUGGCACCCUAACUACAGGACCAAGAUAGACUUGGAGUUCUAGAUCGAUAGAGUCGGAGUUUGUAAUAAAUGUUUAAAUCAGUGUCUUAGUCUUAGUCUUAGUCUUAGUCAGUCUUAGUUAGUUUUAGUUUGCUUAUCAUGUGUUUCCAUGUUUGUCAUGAUGAACUUAUGAUGAAAUUGGAUCUUUGUAAUGAUUGACACCAAGGGGUGGGCAUCCCCUUCAACUUGGUGUAGUUAUUAAUAAAGUUAGUUAUUUAGUUGGGCAACCCUUUAUUUCCACUUUCCUCUUAAUCUAAGAAGCUAUGUUUUGCUGUGUUGAGAGUCAGUGAAGAUGCUCAUUUGUUCAGUGUUGCGAAGACUUCUAUAUAUCUUUUCUUAUGCUGGAAUACUGUAGGGUCAGGUCUAAUGUGUGAAUGAUUUCUACAAAUGUCUAACAACAAACAUCGAGAUGGAAGGCGUGCCCAACAAGAGCAGCAGGCACCCCAGGAUGAGGCACCCCAGCAGUAGUUGCCACCACCACCCCCAAUGACAAUGGAGUAAAUGUUUCUGAUGCAAACUCAGGCAGUUCAAGCAAUUGGUUGGACCUUGGCAACCAUGCAACAGGUGUAGCAACAACAACCUCCACCUCAACUUCAAGUGCAGAUGCGCAGAUGUCAAGAGACAAGCGUGCGGAGUUCAUGAGGGGUCAUCCCUCUAUGUCUGCCCAUUCUGUAGACCCCAUGGAUGCCUAAGACUGGUUGCACAUAGUGGAGCGGGAGCUGCAUACCGCUCAGUGCAAUGACCGUGAGAAAAUUUUGUAUGGUCCCCGUCUACUAAGGGGAGUAGCACAAUCCUGGUGCGAGUCCUACCUCGCCACCCAUGCCGACCCUGAAGCCAUUACUUGGGAGGAGUUCAGAAACAACUUCCACCGGUACCAUGUGCCUGAAGGUUUGAUGAUAGUGAGGAAUGAAGAAUUUCUGGCAUUAAAGCAAGGGCCCCUGUCUGUUAGUGAGUACAGGGACAAGUUUUUGCAACUAUCUCGCUACGCACCUGAGUAUGUCAACACUGAUGCCGAGAGGCAAUACAUGUUCUUGAGAGGUUUGGUUAACCCCUUCACUACCAGCUGAUGAACCAUACAUUCCCUACCUUUCAGCAUCUGAUUGAUAGAGCUAUCAUGACUGAAAGGAAGCACCGGGAGAUGGAAGACCAGAAGCGCAAGAUCGGUGGACCGCAGGUGGGAGUAGCAGCCAUCCCCGUUUCUCAGGCAAUCCACCCCAACAGUUUAAGUAGAGUCACCCUCAAGGACAUCAAAACCAGCACCAACAUCAACGUUGGCUUUAGCAGCAGUUCCAUAGGCAGUUUCCUUAGCAGCAGCAGCAGCAGUACCGCCAGCACAACCAAUAGGGAGGAAACCAGUAUCAGUGGUAGAGCAGCCAGGCACCUCGCCUUCCUUCCCUAGCCACCAAUCAGCGCAACUAGAUAGCCCCAUCACAAGGAGGAGGUCGUGGAUGUUUCCACUAUGGGGAACAAGGCCACUAGGCGACACAUUGCCUAAGAAAGUGGCUCAGCAACAGCUAGCUUCCAACACCCUAGCAAGACAAGGAGCACCACGACAAGCAUCAGGAGGUGUGGCCAGGCCUACAACCGUGGAAAGGUGAACCAUUUGGAGGCUAAAGCGAUCUAGGAUGCACUAGAUGUGGUAGUAGGUAUGAUUCCAGUUGAAUCCCAUCUAGCAAAAGUACUAUUUGAUACUGGUGUCACACAUUCUUUUGUUUCUACAUCAUAGGUAGAAGCACAUAACAUCCUCAUAGAACCAAUGAUUCCACCUCUAAGAGUUAAUUCAGUUGGGGGAAAAGUUCAGUCCAAUAAGAUGUGCUCGAAUCUAAGGAUUGAAAUAAGGGGAUAGAUUUCCCCGCUAACCUAGUGGUCAUGAGUACUCAAGGGUUAGAUGUCGUCCUAGGGAUGAAUUGGCUGCACAGAAACUAAGCAACUGUCAGUUGUGACAAGAGGAUAGUAAAGUUAGUGUCCCCAUUCGGGAAAGAAGCAGUAACUAAACUGUUCAUGCCUGAUUUAGAAGGAGCCUGUCACUAUAUGUCUGUAGAUGGUAAGGAGGCCAACUUGCUUGAGGCUAUCAGAGUUGUGUCAAAGGUCCCUGAUGUGUUUCCUGAGAAUUUACCAAGCAUGCCACCCGAGCGUAAAGUUGAGUUUGCCAUAGAGCUUGAACCUAGAACUGCCCCUAUUUCCAAGAGAGCCUAUAGAGUGUCUAGACCAGAAUUGGUGGAACUCAAGAAGCAAAUCGAUGAGUAGUUAUAGAAAGGCUACAUUCAACCAAGUACUUCGCCUUGGGCCACACUAGUUCUGUUUGUGGAUAAGAAAGAUGGGAUCAAGAGGAUGUGCAUUGACUACAGAGCUUUAAAUGAAGUCACCAUCAAGAACAUGUACCCUCUGCCAAGAAUAGAAGAUAUAUUUGAUCAGUUGAGAGAAGCCGGAGUGUUCUCAAAGAUAGAUCUGAGGUCAGGUUACCAUCAGCUCAGGAUCCAACCUUCGGAUGUACCGAAGACAUCAUUUAUCACCAAGUAUGGGCUAUAUGAGUACACAGUCAUGUCAUUUGGAUUGACAAAUGCACCAACUUUCUUUAUGUACUUGAUGAAUAGUGUGUUCAUGGACUGCCUCGACAAGUUUGUAUUGGUGUUCAUCGAUGAUAUUCUCGUAUACUCUCAGAAUGAGGAAGAACACUAGGAGCAUUUGAAUGGCCAGAGUGUUCUCAAAGAUAGAUCUGAGGACAGGAAGGCACCAAGAGAUGUCUGAGGAAUCAAGAGUUUCAUUGGAAUGGCCAAAUACUAUCAACAUUUCAUUGAAGGUUUCUCCAAGAUUGCUAGACCAAUGACAACCCUGCUAGCAAAGAAAGUUGAGUUUAAGUGGACCCCAGAAUGUCAAGAGUCCUUUGAAACAUUGAAGAAGAAGUUGACUACAUCACCUGUGUUGAUCCUACCAGAUGUUCAUAAGCCAUUCUCGGUGUAUUGUGAUGCUUCGUACACUGGUCUGGGAUGUGUGCUAAUGCAAGAAGGAAGAGUAGUGGCGUACUCGUCCCGACAACUGAAGAUUCAUGAGAGAAAUUACCCCACACAUGGCUUGGAGUUGGCAGCAGUGGUUCAUGCACUGAAGACCUGGAGGCAUUAUCUAUAUGGGCAGAAGUGUGAUGUUUACACAGACCACAAGAGUCUUAAGUGCAUAUUCACCCAGUCUGAAUUGAACAUGAGGUAGCGAAGAUGGCUGGAGUUAAUGAAAGACUAUGAGCUAGAGAUACACUAUCACCCAAGCAAAGCUAAUGUGAUUGCAGAUGUUUUGAGCAGAAAAAAUCAAGUCAACAUGAUGGUCGCUCAUACGAUGCCAUAUGAACUAGCAAAGGAAUUCGUCAGGCCGAGUCUCGGAUUUCUAAACAACACCCAAGGAGUGACAAUUGAGCUGGAACCCACUCUAGAGCGAGAAAUCAAGGAUGUGCAGAAAGAUGAUGUGAAGAUCAAUGAAAUUUGGCAGCUGGUCUUAGAUGGGAAAGGCAAGGAUUUCCAGGAAGAUGUGGAAGGUGUGGUAUGGUUCAAAGAUAGGUUGUAUGUUCCCCACAUAAAAUUGAUUCGAGAGCUGAUUUUCAAGAAGCUCAUGAGACAGCGUAUUCCAUACACCCUGGCAGCAAGAAGAUGUACCAAGACAUGAAGAAAAGAUUCUGGUGGUAUUGUAUAAAAAGGGAGAUCACAGAGUAUGUUGCCAUAUGUGACAGUUGUCAGAGAAUUAAGGCAGAGCAUCAGAGGCCCACAGUUUGUUGGAGCUGUUGCAGACUCCUUAGUGGAAAUGGGAUGAGAUUGGGAUGGACUUUAUAGUCAGUUUGCCUCGCAUUCGAGCCGGUUAUGAUUCCAUCUAGGUAGUAGUGGACCACAUGAAAAAACCGGCUCAUUUCGUACCAGUCAAGACUACCUAUAGUAGUGCAGUGUUGGCAGAGUUAUAGAUGUCCCAGAUUGUAUGCUUGCAUGGAGUACCAAAGAAGAUAGUAUCGAACCGAGGAACCGAGUUUACUUCUCAUUUUUUGCGGUAGUUGCAUGAAACUUUGGGCACGCACUUGAAGUUCAGUUCAGCUUACCACCCGCAAACAGAUGAUCAGUCUGAGAACCAACCAGAUCCUUGAAGACAUGCUGAGGGAUUGUGCAUUGCAAGACAAGUCAGGUUGGGACAGAAGGCUACCUUAUGCAGAAUUCUCCUACAAUAACACCUAUGAGGCUAGUCUGAAGAUGUCACUGUUCCAAGCACUCUAUGGGAGGAAUUGUCAAACUUCAUUGCAUUAGGACCAACCCGGCAAAAGGCAGGUGUUCGGUCUAGACAUUUUGCUUGAAGCCGAAGAUAAUAUCGGAAUGGUUUGAGAGAAUCUGAAGAUAGCGCAGUCCAGGUAGCGAAGUUAUGCUGACACAAGGAGAAGAGAGCUGAGUUUUGAAGUGGGAGAUUAUGUUUAUCAGAAGGUGUCACCCAUUAGAGGAAUCAAAAGGUUCGGAGUCAAGGGCAAGCUAGCACCUCGAUACAUCGGACCCUACAAGAUUUAGGCAAGACAUGGAGAAGUGGCAUACCAACUUAGCCUACCAGAAAGUCUGUCAGCAGUGCAUGAUGUGUUCUAUGUGGGUCAGCUGAAGAAAUGUUUGCGAGUACCAGAAGAGCAAUUGCCUACCGAGGAUCUCGAAGUUUAAGAAGACUUAACAUAUAUUGAGAAGCCAACUCAAAUUCUAGAGACAGCAAAUAGAGUCACUCGAAGGAGCACCAUCGAGAUGUGCAAAGUCAAGUGGGGUCAUCAUUCAGAGGAAGAAGCAACUUAGCAAAGAGAAGAUGAUCUAAAAGCUAAAUAUCUCGAGCUCUUUGCUAGCCAACCCUGAAUCUCGAGGGCAAGAUUCUUUUUAAGGGGGAUAGGUUUGUAACACCCUGGAUUUGGGGGUAUAAAAUUUCUUCUCUAAUUUGUACCAAAUUCAGGUGUUACAUCUUGUUUCUCUCUCUCUAGUUUUCUUCUCUCUUCCUUUUUAUUAGAAUUAUGUCUACUAGGUGGGAGAUUAAGUUUUUCUUUACUAUAUCAAAACCUAUGGGAGUCAUGGGAUGUUGCAUCAUGCUGAGCCUAAAUUAUUAUUUUGUUUGAUGCACAUGUCUGAAUUAUUUGAAUUUGGAGCAUGUUUGAUAUUGAAUUCAAAGGAGAAAAAUAAAAGGAAAAAGGAUUAGAAAUUUAGGAAUAAAUGAAAAAGGGAAAAGAGCCCAGCCGCCCUCCCUACUCGGCCUUUCGGCCUAGCUAGCCGUGUCUCGCUCGCUCCCUUGCCUUCUCUCUCUCUGCUCGGUGGGACCACCCCGUCAGCAUCGUUGCACGCUCACGUGCACCCACUCUCACUGGCUCACAGGCCCUGCCCGUCAGACCCGUCCCCUCCCCUGCAACCACCACGCCCAUGGCGUGCGCUCAUGCCCCCACGACCCACCCACGUCGCCUAAGCGCCGAGGUGAAGACCCCGUGCCCCCCUUAGCUCGCCCCUGCCUCUCAUUCACUCUCUCCCAGCCCUCACACUCACUCAGCCCACAGCGCCGCCCCCUCUGUUGGUCCGUCGUUCCGCCAUCCUCGCUGGGCCUCUACCAUCGUCUCGGCCACGGUGAGCUUCGCCGGAGCCUUGUGCACCGGGAAUCCACAGUGGUUUCCCUCUCAUUGAUCCCUCUGCCAGGUCCGCACUCAACCUCUCCCCUACACAAGUCGGAGUUCGCCGCCGCCACGAUUUCUCCUUGUCCGGCCAACCGGAGUCCCCUCGCGCCGUGCCAAGCCACUCCGAGCGUCGUCUCUAGGUAAGUGACCUUCCCCUAACCUUAUUCUGCACCGAUUCCAUCUCACCAUGGGUAAUUUUGGCUCGCCGGAGUGGCCUCUGGUCAGCCGAGGCCCCCUCCGCCUGUCUCAGCCCCGUUCCAGUGACCCUGACUUCGCCAUAGUGUUCGUCAAGUCCACCCCAACCUCUCUAUCUACCUAGACUACCCCAGCGCCCCUAGAAACCCCGGUCUGCCUCGCCUACGGUGGCUGCACCACCGCGACCAUGAACAACGCCGCCCUCGGCCGACCGGAGCUGAGAACCCACUUGGCGCCCGAUCCUGACCGUUCAUCCUUGAUCCAUUGGCCCAGGUGCUCGGAUAACGGUUCGCUCGGUUCGUUGGACCAGGAACGUUGAUCCGAGAUCCAGUGGCUAGAGCGCCUCGCGCCCCGUGCAUCUCGCCUCGCCCCACCUGUCAGGCAUCCGCGCCGAGCCCUCGCCCGAGCUGCCGACCUUGUUUGCGCCUCGCCCGAGCCCACUGACCCACUGGCCCCGCACGUAAGUGUCUUGCCCCACCAUGAGAACUGCUUGUCAGCGCUCGCGUCCGCCCGCUAGAUCUAAUCCUGGUCGUUGAUCUAAGAUCUAACGGCUGGCAGAAGCCGACACCCCUUUGGUUUGCAGCUUUAUAAAAAGAACCCUCGACUUCUGAUAAAUAGAACCCACAGUCCCUAGAGUUUGCAGCCGAGCCCCUGGGAUCUUGCAGAAAGAACCCCAGACUUUAUUUUAAUUACAGAAAUAGGUCUAAUUUUGUAUUUUGAAUUCCAAAACUUAUUUAUUUCAUAUAUUUUGCAUAUGAACUCCAAAUUGGGUGGUUCAAAUUGCAAAAUUUUCAUAAAAUUAUUCUCUGUGUGGUUAAAUUAUCAUCUUUCACUAUCUUCAUGUAUUAAUUUCAUGUGUAGGCUAUAGGUGCAUUUAAAGUAAUGGUUCAUUAUUUAAAAGGAAAUAAAAAGUAAAACACUAAUGAUAAUUAAGUGAUUAACUUUGUGAAGUUAAUAUCAUGUAAUGUAUGAACCCAUCCCUGGUAUAAUUUUAAUAAUCCAUUAAGAUGACUAUAGUAAGUUAUGUAAUCCACUGAGAUAAGUAGUACUUAGAGAACCACAAACCCCUAAGUGUAUUUGUAUAUCCUUGGAUCUAGAUUCCAAGCUAGUGUCUGUACUUUUUAUUGGAUUUGUGUUCACUUGAUUGCAUAUGUUUGGUGUAUUGUUCCUUUUAUCAUUUCCCAAAUGUGUUGAAUGCAUGAUUGCUUUGCGUAGACAAUGAGAAGUCCGUGGUUCCUGAGUAUGUUGCUGGAGACCUCCCUGAGCAGCAACCUGGUGAAGGCAAGUGUCCUCUUACCCAUUAUGUCCUACUUACUUUAUAAUUCACUGUCCCGCAUUACUUAAUUGAAAUAUAAGGACUGACUAGCUUUGUAUUUACUUUGUCCUUGAUUACCUUUUGGGUUAUUAUCGUUAGCUUCAUGUUAUUGCUUUACUUUAAUCAACGAACAUGUUAUGAUACGAUGAUGAUGAUCUGUGAUACUUUAGGGGACUUAGGUUGUUUCCUGAGUACCUCUCUGUAAGGACCUUUUCAUUGAGAGACCACCUGGGAUAACAUUACAACCAUGAGGGUGGAAUGGGACGCCCUUAGCUGAAUAAUUAGAGGAACUUGAGGUGUAGUCGGCUUUGUCGUAGGACCGUCAAUGGAGUCCGGGCACAGUAUUUGCUCUACCGAGGGUCGUUGCCGAGGUUCUUUCAAUUUGGUUUUGUUAGUCAUCCUUCCUAUGGGGAGAAGUACUGUGUUUAUCAAACUGGAGAAACCUAGCGGGCGACUAUGACCUCUGGGGAAUAUUUGUAAAGGCUACAUAGUGAAACCUUGCCUGCUCACCUUGGUAGUGUUUGAGGGUUUGAUCGACCCGAGGCAAAAGGAAUCACGACUCGUGGGUAAAGUGUGCAACCUCUAUAGAGUGUUAGAAACUAGUAUAAUAGUCAUGCUUAUGGUUAAGAGCAGCCUUGAGAUCCUCUUUGAUUAGAAUAAUUCUGGAUACUUUUAUGAUGAUAAUUAAUGGUGAUGAUUACAACAAUGGUCUCUGGUAUUUCCUCUUGGAGGGAGUACUUUUGAAUAAUAACUGGGUUUAUUACUAAAACUUGGCUUACUUCUAGUAAUAAAUACCUGACCAACUAAAAGCAACUACUUUAACCUUAACCCCACGUAAAGCUACUCCACUUUAGCCAAACUGGACAUUUGCUAAGUACGUUGAUGCGUACUCACCCUUGAUUAAAAAACCCCCAACCCUAGGUGCUCCCCAUUGCAAUCAGUGCUCAAGAGGAGAUGAAGGCAACAUGGAGGACUUUCCGGAGUUUCAGGUCUUUGAUGAGUUCUAUUUGUGUUUUGUGGCAAACCCCCAGUCAGCUGCCUGUGAAGGCCUUAUCUUCUACGUUUUGUAUCCGCACUUUGAUUAUGUUGAUGACUAUGUUAAGUUAAUGACUCUCUGGAUGUCUUGGACAUUUUGAUGUAAUAAAGUACUAUUUCCGCUAUUUAUUUUGAGCAAUGUGUGAUGAUGUCCAACUAUGUAAUCGUUGUGUACAUGAGUUUUUGAUCCUGCCAUAUACAUGGUUCGCAUUCGGUUUGCCUUUCAAAACCGGGUGUGAAAUCUUCUUAGCCAUUAGUGGGUUGUCUGCAUCCUUGACUGUCGGCCCCAAGCAUUAUACUGGGAGGGUGGUCAUUCCCUCCUAGAAGAAGUUUUUUUUUAAAUAGUUUCCUCAUUUUUUGGUGGAGGCCAUUGCUUUAUGAAAAAUCUACAGCUUUUAGCCUUCGGUAUUGCCAAAAAUAGUUGUUCAUGCCCGUUUUCUGGCAAAAAAAGGUAGUAUAACCAUGGAUCUUUGGUGAUUGGCUUAUAUUACGAUAUUACUUACCCCAUUCAUAUUUUAAUGCUAGAAAUCAGUUUCUUGGAUUUUUGGUGGAUAUCAUUUCUUAAUAAAAAAUACAUAGGAAUUAGCCUUUGUGAAAGGGAAAUGUACCCUUGGGCCAUUUCUAAGUGUUUUGGUGAUUAAGUGCCUAACGCCUCACUUUGAACUAACAUGCUACUGUGAGUAUGAGCUCAGAGUCAAAGAGAAGGAAAUUGAGAGUCUUGGAAGAAAGUUGAACAUCCUAUACUAUUGGAGAAAUUUAGGUAUGAUUGUAGCACUUAGUAAAUUGUUUUGGUACUAACUAUGUUCUACUAAGUGCCAGGGAACUUCUCAAAACUAGAUAAAUUCAAUUGGAGAAGUUUGGCUAAGGGUAGUCAAACUUGGACCAGCCUACGGUGCACCGGACUGUCCGGUGUGCAUCAUACAAUGUCCGGUGCUCAGGCUACAUACCCGGCGAAUAGCCGCUCUUGGGAAAAAGCCAGGGCGCCGCGACUAUAAUUCAUCAAACUAUCCGGUGUGUACAGGACUAUCCGGUGUGUCAACCGCAUGCCUAGCCAAUGGUGUGCCAUGGGACCAGAGGGUGGCAAUGGUCAGAUUUGCCAAAUAAGGAAGGGUAUCGUGCACUGUUUACUGUCCGGUGGUGCACCGGACUGUCCGGUGCGCCCACGGACAUAAGGCAAUCAUAGCCUGCCUAAUGGAGGUCCAAUGGCUCCUAGGUCCCUUGGGGCUAUAAAAGGGACCCUUAGGCGCAUGGAGCACUACACCAAGCAUCCUUUGAACAUCACAAGACACCGAGACACUGCGAUCGCGCUAGAGCUUUGAUAGUUUGAGAUUUGAGCAAGAGUUGGAGUUGUAAUUCCGUGUGUUGUUUCUUGUGCUGCUCUCUCAACUUGUGAGCAUGUGUUGCUGUGAUUUUUGUCUCUUGUGUGUGUUUCUACUCCCCCUUACUCUUGUGUUCAUUUGAGAUCAAAUUGUUUAAGGUGUGAGAGACUCCAAAUUGUGGAGAUUCCUCACAAUGGGAAAAAGUUGAGAAGAAAGAGAACCAUGGUACUCAAGUUGAUUAGUGGAUCGCUUGAGAGGGGUUGAGUGCAACCCUCGUCCAUUGGGACACCACAAUGUGGAUUAGGCAAGUAUUUUACGCUUGACCGAACCAUGGGAUAAAAUCAUCGUGUCACAUGUCUUUAUACCUUAUUCUACUCUUUCUUAUAGUUCACGUCACUUCAUAAUUGCUCUAAGUUUAAUACUCACCUUGUGAGAGCAAUUAUGUGAAGAAAUUCACUCCUCUCAUUCUCUUCAUUCAAACUUGGCUCUUGCUUUCACUAAUCCAAAAUUUGUCCAAGUUUGUGAGAGCACCUAGAGGGGGGUGAAUAGGUGAUCCUAUAAAAAUCAACUCUAAACAACACAAACUUGGUUUAUAAUUGUUAGUGAAAUGAAAACCAAGUUGCUGUGAAUAGAGAAAGAGAGAACUCUUCACUUGAUUGUUCCUUUAUGAUAUGUAUUGAACUUAGGAACAAUAGCGUAAGUGAAUAUGUGAGAACUCUAUGGAAGAAAACAAUCACAGAGAAAGAUGCGCAAGUGACAGGGUGAUUUUAUCCCGUGGUUCAGCCAAUGCCUACUCCACAUUGUGGUGACCUCUUCGGUCAAGGAUUGUACUCAAUCCCUCUCAAGUGAUCCGAUGAUCAAACUUGAGUACCACAGUUUUCUUCCUUUUCACAAGUGUUCCCUUUGUGAGGAAUCCCCACAAGUUGGAGCCUCUCACCCUUACAAGAUUGAUCACAAGAACCACAAGAGUAAUGGAGGGAAUACAAACUCACACAAGAACUAGAGUCACAACAACAACACGAACACAAGUCAAGAACUGAGCACUCAAAACAACGCAACGGAGUCAAAGCUCAAAGAAGUGCUCAAAUCUCAAACACAAUGAACCGAAUGCGUGCUUGUGGAGUCUAGGCGUCUUAGGAUGUUUAAUGGAGGCUUGGUGUAGUGCUCCAUGCGCCUAGGGGUCCCUUUAUAGCCCCAAGGCAGCUAGGAGCCGUUAGAGUUCCAUUUGGAAGGCUUUGGUUGCCUUCUGUCCGUGGGCGCACCGGACAGUCCGAUGCACCACCGGACAGUGAACAGUGCAUGAUCUCCUUCCUUUUCUGGCGAAGCCAACCGUUGCCACCCACGGUCCAUGUGGCACAACGCUGAUCGUGUGGUCACCAUUGGCCGGGUGUGAGGCUGGCACACCGGACAGUCUGGUGCACACUGGACAGUCUAGUGAAUUAUAGCCACGGCACACUCAGCACUUUCCCGAUUGUGGCCUAUUCGCCAGGGCACCAGCCUAGGCACCAGACACUGUCCGGUGCACCGUAGGCUGGUGCAAGUUUGGUUGGACUCAGCCAAACUUCUUUAAUCCGAUUUCUCUCGAUUUGACAAGAUUCCUAGCACUUAGUAGAAUAAUGUUAGUACCAAAAACAAUAUGUGUUGAGCAUCUAAUCACUAACACAUUUAUAGAAAUGGCACAAAGGCACAUUUCCCUUUCAAUCUCCCCAUUUUUGGUGAUUUAUGCCAACACAUCAAAAGCAACUCAAAAUGCAACAACAUUUUCAAAGAUGAGCUAAAGAGUGCAAAUUGAAGACCAAUUAAUCUCACAUAGAAUUUGUUAUAUUUGGAUCUCUUUUUUGCUGUUUAUUUUCACAAAACAAAUUCGUUUUACUAUCUCUAUGUCAAAGACACUUUUUUGGCAAAUCAAAAGAUCUUUCAAGAAUAGUUUUGAUCAAAUACCAAAAACUCCCCCCUUUUCCCAUAAUAGAAAUUCUCCCCCACAAGAGAACUAUUUUUGCAAUAAGAGGGUUUUGAUCAAACACCAAGAUUUCUAACACUAAAGUUUUGAAAUUCACAAGUGGUUGGUUGAUCUAGUUGAUUUGGUCUAAUCUGAUCCAGUUGCUUUGGCCUUAAUUUCUCCCCCUUUGGCAUUAAGCACUAAAAUUGAAGAACUAUUUGGCCCCUUUAACCCCAUUGUCUCACAAAAAUUCCAAAUAAGAUCAAAGGCAAUAAGAAAACACAGAUAAGAACUUGGGACAAGAUACAUUGAUACAGGGAUGCAGUGGAAGCCCCUUCUUUGUUCAAGUUCACAUUUUCCCUUUCAAUGCCAUCUUUGAGACUAGAUUAUUAUUACUCAAGGAAACACAUUAGUCUCAAAGGAUCAAGUUGUAGUACAUCCUCCCCCUAAACAUGUGCAUCAUGUGCAUAAGGACUUGUGAGGUCCAGGGAUAACUUGUACAACUUGAGCACCAAAAAAUAAGCAUGUAAAGACAGUAAUGCUUAAAGUAACAUGAUCAAAGGCAUGAAACACAUGUCUGCUAUAGAUCAAUCCAAGUUCUGCGAAUCUAAGACAUUUAGCUCACUACGUAACCUACAAAACUUUUUCUUGUCUAAAGGCUUGGUGAAGAUAUCGGCUAGCUGGUUCUCGGUGCUAAUAUGAUAAUUAUCGAAUCUUCCCUUUGCUGGUGGUCUCUCAUAAAGUGAUGCCGGAUGUCUAUGUGCUUAGUGCGGCUGUGUUCAAUAGAAUUGUCCGCCAAGCGGAUUGCACCCUCAUUAUCACACAGGAGUGGGACUUACUCAGAUUGUAUCUAAAGUCCCGGAGGGUUUUCCUCAUCCAAAGUAGUUGCGCGCAACACUAUCCUACGACAACAUACUCGACCUCAACGGUGGAUAGGGCAACAAAUGUUUGUUUCUUAGAGCUCCAGGACACCGAGGACCUUCCUAGAAACUGACAAGUCCUGAAUGUGCUCUUUCUAUCAACCUUGCACCCGGCAUAGUCGGAAUCUGAAUACCCGAUUAAGUCAAAGGUAGACCCCUUUGGAUACCAGAUCCCGAAGCAAGGUGUAGAAACUAAAUAUCUAAGAAUCUGCUUCACGGCCACAAGAUGACAUUCCUUGGGGUCAGAUUGAAAUCUAGCACACAUGCAUAUGGUAAGCAUAAUAUCCGGUCUACUAGCACAAAUAUAAAGUAAAGAACCUGUUGGUCCUUGUUCUCGAAUGCUAUACAUCAAGAACAAAACAACACAAUUGUUAACGAUUAAGGACCUUCGUCCUUCGAAGCAUUAUCUCCCCUAGGAUAUAAUGAUCUUCAGACGAAGGUCAAGAAGGGCAUACCUUCAUCAUUUCAGUGAACGAAAUAUAAAUAGAGACAUAUGAAAUACAAAGGAAUAUAAACAAUCAUUACAAAUCAUUAGAUUAUUUACAUUAUCGUUUUAUAAACAUGGAUAAACAUCAAUUAUAUUUAUAUUACAUUUAUACCUUCGGUUUAACAGAAGAAGGAAAAGCGAGAGUGAAGCGAGAGUGAUUACAAUUCAGCGUGAAUAGUACGAGGGUACUAUUCAUCUAUUUAUAAGCACGGGACGCAGCCCGGACAAAAUUACAUCCGUGUCCCUAAUAAUUAAUUAUAAUCAUAAUACAAAUUAUCAGGGGCUAUACAGUCUUUUCCUCUUUAAGUCGGUAUCGUCCUUCGUCUUUAGCAUGUCACCAUGCCGAAGCUCCUUCAAUCGUAGCUUCGGCUUAUAUCUUCAUGUCACACCUGCUUAUGUAUUGUCCUGCUGAAGGUGUUUUUUCUUAGAGGACCUUCGGCGGAGAAGAAUGCCCCCAACAGUAGCCCCUUCACGGUGCUAGAUCGUUUUUUUCUUAACAAGCUCGAUCCGCGAAAAACACGAAGGCUUCGGAAUGCCGAAGGUUCGAAAAACACCUUCCCUGAGCUCGUUGCCGAGAAACGAUUAUAAUAUUCCAGGCGCCGGAUGGUCCACCGUUCAGCGAGUGCGAGCGGUCUGGUGGUUCACCUUCCCCCCUGUAGCACUAUAUAAACAGAUGGGUUGGUGAGGAGUUACCACAACAUUCAUUGCCAUUGCACUGUCGUGCUGUUAAAAAAUUUAACCAUAGCCAAAGCUUUCUGUAUUGCGCUUUCGAGCGAAUGCUUCAUCAUUGGAGAUUAGCUUCGUCAAAAAGUGAAUACAUUUGAAAUGGCCAGAGUGCGAUCAACUGCUAGAGUGUCUCGUGAGGGAGGCGAGGCCGAAGUAACUGAGACGACACCAAUAACAAAGGUGAUGAGGCAAUCAGGUCUUGUUGUGACAGAAAAGCCUGUUGCCGAAGGUACUUUGACUGCUGAAGCUGAGCAAAUCACAGUUGGAGAGGGAAGUAGUAACGAAGAUGAAGAUGAUUAUACCAUCCUGAGCCCAGAAAACCUAGCCACCUUGAAUUUGGCAGAUCCACUGUGACGGCAGAUGAUAUGGUUAUAAUGAAAAAAUUGGGCUACUUUGGUGAAACUAAGAGUAAACUUGUUCGUUUUGCUGGCGAGGAAGCGGUUCCAGAGCUGAAGGACGAUGAAGUUGUUGUGUUUAAAAGCUUCUUCAGAGCGGGGCUUCGGUUCCCUGUUUAUGAUAUAAUAGGAGAGGUUUUGAAAAACUUUGAAAUAUACCUUCAUCAAUUGACACCUAAUGCAAUUGUUAGACUUAGCAUUUACAUCUGGGCCUCUGAAGCCAGAGGAUGAGUCCUAAUGUCGAAGCUUUCUGCCGGGUGCACGAGCUACAUUAACAGACAAAGGCCAGGGCAAAUGGCCUUCAUGAGAAUUUUGGUUGCUACAAUUUUGCGUAUCGAAAGGAUAUGAAGGCACCGGUUCUUAGCUACCGUACCAAGUGGCCAACUGGUUGGAAGAGUGAAUGGUUUUAUAUGAAAGCAGACGAGAAAAAGAGAGAAGCUAAUGACCAUGGUUAAGAGUCCACUGAAUUUGAGCUUCAGAAUGACAAGGCCCUUGUGCCAUAUGCAGCUUGGCUCCCCAUGCCAACUGGCCGAAGUGGAGUUUAGAGUGGUAGUGGCUGAAGUCAGCACUAGAGAUCUAGUGCAAGAGUUCUUGGCAAAUAGAGUAUUUCCGACCUCUAGUGGCUGGGGAAUGCCCAAGAAAAAGGAUGGGAGCAAAAAACACGAACUUGUUCGGCUCCCAUACUGGUUCAAGUUUGAGAAAGAGUUCAAGAAACCAUGCCAAGUGUGGCUGGAAAUGAUUGAAACUAUGCAAUGAAAUCCUUGGCAACUACACCAAGAAGGAGGACCAACUAAUGACUGCUGCCUUCAGCACCUGGCCAAAAUGAAGGCUAAAUCAUGUGAUGGACGCGCUAAAUUUUGAAUAUCCAGACUAUGAAAGAUUUGAUAAGGGAAAAGAUUUGAAGAGGAAAAGGAUUGUUAGUAUUUUAAAGAGACAGGCUGAUAGACUGGUAAAAGAGGAUGAGAAGAUUUCGAAGAAGGCAAAAACUGCUCGUGAGCCGAAGGCAGCAGUCUCCAAAAAGAGGAAGCCUGAAGUAGUUGAGCCGAAGGUAGCUGAGGCGAGAGAAGAAGUUCCUUCAACGCCCCCUGCUGCUGAAAUAGCAGAAAUUCUAAAGGUAAUGACUGAAUCGUUGCCCAUCAAGCUGCUAAGUUCUUUGGGGGCCAGAACUGACGAAACUUUUACAGAAGAAGGAUCAACCUUCGAUCAUAAAGGAGAAGACUGAAGGUUAGAAGAGACGAAGAAUUGUCAAUGUUAUCCAAGCUAUUGAGCGGACACCACCUCUAGCCUCGGUGUCCAGAAUGGUGCCUGUUGCAAAUGCCAAGGUUGAGGAUGCUGCCGAAGCUGAAACUGUUGCCGAAGCUGCAGCUACUGCCAAAGCUGCUAAUCUUGUGAGCACAAUGUCAGGAAUUGACAAGCUGAUAUCAGAUAUGGUCACAGAGGAGGCAGUUGCGACCGCAGAGGAAAACGUGGCCGCGGUGCCUGGCAAGGGAAAAGAAGUUGUUGAUACUUCGUCAAAAGAAAAAGACUUUGACCUUCGGCACCUGGGAGGUCAAGAAUUGUCUGAGAUGGAGAAAGAGGAGCUAGAAGAAUAUGGAAAAUCUUGUGGCUACCAGCCGGGAUCCAUGCUCUUCGGUGGAGUUGAUGAGGAAAUCAUGGGAUGUAUCCACGACCGAGCUGGGGCAAAAAUAAUCGGCACUCUAUCAAAGAGUGUUGGUUUCCCGAAGCUAGAGUCUGAUAUUAGUGGGUACCGAUGACAACAUAUCGUCAGCAGCCUAUUUUAUUCCAAUUUCAAGGUAAAAUCUUUUUGCCUAGAUUCUUGUUUUCUUUGUGAUGGAUUAAAAUAUUAUAAAGUCAACUUUAUUUUCGCAGAGUAUGCUGCUAAGCAAAGCAUUAAGAAUGCAACAAGACCUCGAAGAUAAGAAAAAUGAGAUAGUAAUUGAAGGCUUGGAAAGCAAGAUCAAAGAUUGCAAAGCUUCUCUUGAAAAGAAUGACUUCUUGCUUCAAGCAACCAAAGGUUCCCUUGUGGAAUUUCAAGCUGAAAAUACUAGAUUAAACGAGGAGCUUCUCAAAGCUCAAACAAUCUUAAAGGAAAAAUCAGAGUGCUUUGAACAAGAGAAAAAGGAACUGCAAGCGAAAUAUAAAGUCGAAGCUGAUAAAAACACGAAGCUGCCGGAAUCACUGAGGGACCUUCGGAACAAAUGAUCGGAGUUUGCUACUCGCUGCAUGCAACGGUUAAAAGGAGUCUUCAGCUCGGUUGGGCCAGCUCUGAAGAAAUUGCCCCUUUGGCUGAAGAUAUAUCAGAUACCUUCAAGCAUAUUGAAAAUGAAGUUGAUGCACUCGACAAAGUAAUAACUGGGCAUGGUGAUUUCUGUGCUCUGUUAGCUUCUCGUGGCACGACUGCUGCAUUCUUGAAGGCCGGAUGCACGCAUGCUAAAACAGUAAACAAGCCAAACAUCAGCCUAUCACCAUCAGACUUGAUUAAUAUUCCUGGUGAGGCCCGAAGUAUCGGAAAUAGAUUUAUUACUCAAAUUUGGGCUAAAGGCAGGCGAGAGUUGGCUGGAGACGAGGCUCAGAAUCUGCUUAAAUCAGUACAAAAUUUAUACCUGUGUUUUCCUUGAUUUUUCUUCAUUACCAUUGCUUUUAACUUAUACCGUUGUUUGUCUGCAGGAUGGCGGCGCCGAAGGUUAGUAAUCCGAAGCGCAUUCCGAAGGUUGCUGGGCUGAGGCUUCCCUUUAUGACUUCCUGCAUAGAGCUUAGGAUCUAUUUGCGUUAUUUUUUCAAAAAAUUGUAAUCGAGAGUUGAACUCAAUACUGUAUAUAUUGAUCCAUACCUUGUAAUAUAAUUUUACCUUUCAGUCCACGUGCGAAUUGCUUUGUUGUGGACGAAACCCAUGUGUAACUUUUGAGCCAAAGGCGAAAAACACCUUCCCUUCUUUUCAUACACAUCGAAGCAUUUCCUUGCAUAAAACGCCUAUGUUCAUGUUUGAAACGAAGCUUCUUCGUAUUCAUCGAAGCACUUUGUUGCCGAAGCCGGACAAUUUCUGCUCAUAUUAUCGUUCGUGCUUCAUGUCAUGAUAAUGAUGAUCCUACGAAUGUCUAAUGAAUGUCUGUAUGAAUGCAAAGAAUGAUGCAAUGUAAUAUGCAAAUGUAUGAACCAAACACACACGAAGCCAUACCUAGACACUGCAUCCCCUUAGGAACGACUUUGGAGUCUCUUCACCUUUUAUUUCGGUGGUAUUUAAGCUCUGCAUUCCCUUAGGAACGACUUUGGAGCUUCUUCACCUUCUAUUUCGGUGGCAUUUAAGCUCUGCAUCCCCUUAGGAAUGACUUUGGAGCUUCUUCACCUUCUAUUUCGGUGGUAUUUGGCUCUGCAUUCCCUUAGGAACGACUUUUGAGCUUCGGGACUUACUCUGCUCCCCCUUAGGAACGACUUUUGUAGCUUCGGAACUUACUCUGCGCUCCCUUAGGAAUGACUUUUGUAGCUUCGUCACUCUCGGAGUGAUUAUAGCUCUGCAUCCCUUAGGGACGUCUUUUGAGCUUUUCCCUGUUCUUUUUGCACUCGAUGGUGUGGAUUUUGAUAUUACAUGUUACAUUUCUGGGGAAUUUUGGCCUUUGUAUUGCUUAGGGCUAGACAAAAAUGAAAAUUACAAACUAUGGCCCCAUUAAAAACCUUUCUCCCCUCCUGAAAGGAAAAGGGUGUCAUAGGAAAAAUAAAAAGAUUACAUCAAUUACACAAAAUAGCGUCGAAGCUCAUUCGCAUUCAAAGAUUUGGGUAUGUCGUUGCCGUCCACAUCCUUCAAUUUGUAAGAACCGGGUCUUGACGAAGAUACUACCAGAAAAGGACCUUCCCAUUUAAGUUGUAGCUUCCCCACUAUAUCGGGGUUGGUUAUCCUCUGAAGCACCAAAUGGCCUGGCUUGAUAUUUUUCAAUCGAACUUUCCUAUCACACCAUUUUAUUGUUUUGGCCUGAUACUUAUUGAUGUGCUCUAUGGCCUGAAGUUUGGUCCCUUCUAAUGUGUCUUUUGUUAUUUGAGAAUCAGUUUUGUCCUCCGCUGAAGCUGCGGUUCUUAUUGAUCCUGUUCUUGGUUCUUCUGGUGUUAUUGCUUCGUCACCGAAUAGGAGCUUGAAGGGAGUAAAACCUGUUGACCUUGAGACAGCAGUGUUGUGGCUCCACACCACUUUGAUCAACUCAUCUGGCCACUUUCCUCUAGGCUAAUUGAAGAUUAACUUCAUUAUUCCUGUCAUUAUAAUUCCAUUUGCUCUCUCUACUAACCCAUUUGACUCUGGAUGCCUUACUGAAGCAAAAUGUAUUCUUGUACCGAUUUGGUCACAAAAAACUUUGGACGUUUCAGCAUCGAAUUGAGUUCCAUUGUCGACUGUAAUAGCCUUUGGUACACCGAAAUGACAUACAAUAUUUUACCAGAAGCACUUCUGGACUGUGGCUGAAGUUAUGGUAGCUAGAGGUUUAGCUUCGAUCCACUUCGAGAAAUAUUCCACCGCUACCAUAACAUAUUUUAAAUUUCCUUGUGCGGGUGGAAGCGGUCCUAACAAAUCUAGGCCCCAUCUUUGUAAUGGCCAAGUAGGUUGGAUCAAUUGUGUUGAAGACGAAGGUUGUUUCUCGUCUCUGGCACACUUCUGAUAAUUUUCACAUUUCUGGACCAAGUCCAUUGCAUCCGAAGCUGCCUUCGACCAAUAAAAACCUUGUCUAAAGGCCUUUCCCAGUUGAGGCCUGGAUCCGAUGUGGGCUCCACAUAGUCCUACAUGUAUUCCUUCAUUAAUUCCUGUCCUUCAUUCCUGGAAAGGCAUUUAAGCAAUGGGGAACAAACUCCAUACUUGUAUAACUCCCCCUCAAUUAUUACAUACGGUUUUGUUCUUGCCUCCAUUCUAUUAUUGUAAGCUUCAUCGUCUGAGAGGCGGUUGCCUUGGAGAAGGAUAUUAUUUCGGUCCUCCAGUCUUCACUAUGUACAGGUGAGAUUCUGAGCACUGCUCUCUCCAUGAGCUCGACUGAGGGUGCUUUUAUUGUUUCAAAAAAUACUUCCGAAGGCAAAGGAAGCCCCUGUGCCGCUGAUUUAGCUAGCAAAUCUGCAUGCUCAUUUUCUCCCCUUGGGAUAUUUUUUUACAGAAAAUCCCUCAAAAGAAGCUUCCAAUCUUCGGACUGCAUCCAAAUACUUCUCAAGCUUUGGGUCUCUUGCCUUGCUACUCUUAUCCACGUGGCCAGAAAUAAUUUGUGAAUCAGUUUUGACGAUUGCCCUUCUUAUUCCCAUUGCCUUUAAUUUCCAAAGCCCUAAAAGAAGAGCUUCAUACUCGGCAAUGUUAUUUGUACAACUGAAGUCUAACUUUAUUGCAUAACAUGUUCUGACUUUAGAGGGUGCCACUAGAACAGCAGCUGCUCCUGCACCGAAGGUUCCCCAAGAUCCAUCACAGAAUACCGUCCAAGCUUUGGCAUCUUUUGUUGUUCUUCACCCUGAGCCCCUGGUGUCUAAUCAGCAAUGAUGUCUGCUAACGCCUGGGACUGAAUUGAGGAUCUAUGUACAUGAUCAAUGAUGAAUUCAUUAAGUUCUGUGGCCCAUUUUCCGAUCCUUCCUAUAGCUUCUCUGUUCCUCAUUAUGUCUUUUAGGGGUUGUGAUGAAGGUACUAUUAUAUGAUAUGCUUGAAAGUAGUGCCGAAGCUUCCUGGAGGCCAUCAAUACGGCAUAUAGUACCUUCUCCAAUUCUGUGUAAUUUUUCUUUGAUAGGCUGAGUACUUCAGAGACGAAGUAUUCCGGUGCUUGUAUUUUUACUUGGCCAUCUUGCUUCUCAUAUACGAGUGUCGCAGUAACCACAACAUGGGAAGCAGCCACAUACAGAAGUAGUGGAGUUCCUGAUGAAGGUGGAGUUAGAGUUGUCAAAUCUAUCAGAUAUUGUUUUAACUCUUCGAAGGCUUUAUAUUGAGCCGGACCCCACUGAAAGACUUCGGCUGACUUCAGUAUUUCAAAGAAUGGUAAAUUCCUCUCUGCUGAUCUUGAUAUAAAUCUAUUCAACGAUGCCAGCCUUCAUGCCAACCGUUGAGCCCCCUUCUUUGAAUUUGGUGCUGCAUCCGAAGGAUAGCUUCGAUUGUGCUUGGAUUAGCUUCGAUGCCCUUUGUUGAUACCAGGCAACCAAGAAACUUGCCCUUCUUCACUCCGAAAACACAUUUUUCUGGGUUCAACUUGAGACCAGCUUGUCUGAAAUUGGCAAACGUCUCUUGCAAAUCAGCAACAUGAUCUUCUUGUUUUGUGCUUUUCACUAUGAUGUCAUCGACAUAAGUCAGCACAUUUCUGCCUAUUUGAGAGUGAAGAACCUUGGCAGUCAUUCUGCUGAAGCUUCCUCCAGCAUUUUUGAGCCCCUCAGGCAUCCGAAGGUAGCAAUAGGUAGCAUCUAAUAGGCUCAUAAGUUAUGAAGCUUGUCUUUGGCUCAUCCUCUUUCUUCAUCCAAAUAUGGUGAUAGCCCGAGUAGCAGUCUAAUAGGCUCAUAAGUUCUGAAGAAGCUGCUGCAUCUACAAGGGAAUCUAUUCUUGGUAAAGGGAACUCAUCCUUCGGACAUGCCUUGUUGAGGUCUGUGAAAUCAAUGCACAUUAUUGAAAGGGAAAUGUGCCCUUGGGCCAUUUCUAAGUAUUUUGGUGAUUUAGUGUCCAACACAAGUGCUUAAAUGAUAAAUUAUGCCAAAUGGUGGAUAAGGUGCAAAUCAAUACAAAGGUAUGAUUCUAGACUUAGUACAUUGGUUUUUGUGUACUAACAUGUUUGUCUAAGUGCUAGAAUCAGAGAAAAUACAAUUGAAAAAGCUUGGAUCGAAGCAGCCAAGAGUCUGCUCAGUCUGGGUGCACUGGACUGUCCGGUGGUGCACCGGACAGUGUCCGGUGCGUCAGGCUGGCGUCUGUCAACUGGCUGCUCUCGGGACUUCGACGGCGGCGUACGACUAUAAAUCACUGGACUGUCCGGUGAGCCAACAGUCGGCCCGGCCAACGGUCGGCCGCGUAAUCCGCUCGCGACGCGUGGCAGAGCCAAUGGUCAGAAGGGGGCACCGGACUGUCCAGUGUGCACCGGACACUGUCCGGUGCGCCAACGGCUCCAAAGCGCCAACGGUCGGCUUCGCCAAAGAAGGAAAGAAAUCCGCACCGGACAGUGUCCGGUGGUGCACCGGACUGUCCGGUGCGCCAGGCGACAGAAGGCAAGAAUUGCCUUCUUGAAAUGCUCUCAACGGCUCCUAGCUGCCUUAGGGCUAUAAAAGGGACCCCUAGGCGCAUGGAGGAGUACACCAAGCAUCCUUUGAGCAUUGUUGAUCACUCACACUUCAUUCUUGCGCACUUGUUCGACAUUCUUAGUGAUUUGAGCUCCGUUCUAGUGAGAACCUUGAGAUAUUGUGUUGAGCUCAAGUCUUGAUAUUGUGUGUGCGUAUUUGCUGUGGUUUUGAGUGUGUCGCUUUCCUCCCUUACUCUAGUGCUUCAUUUUGAUUCUUAUUGUAAGGGCGAGAGACUCCAAGUUGUGGAGAUUCCUCGCAAACGGGAAAGAGUAAAGUAAAGAAGAUCACUGUGGUAUUUAAGUUGAUCAUUGGAUCACUUGAGAGGAGUUGAGUGCAACUCUCGUCCGUUGGGACGCCACAACAUGGAGUAGGCAAGUUUUGUACUUGGCCGAACCACGGGAUAAAUCCUCAUGUCUCUUGUGCUUGUCUUUACUGUGUCUGUUGUGUUUCACAAGAGAACUCCUCUCUAACCACUUGGCCUUAUUGUGCUAACUCCUAAUCAAGUUUUGUUGGAUUAAGUUUCAUGUUUUUACAGGAUCACCUAUUCACCCCCCUCUAGGUGCUCUCAAUUGGUAUUGGAGCCGUUCUCUUCAAGAAAGGGACUAAUCGCCCGAAGAGAUGGAUCCUAAGGGCAAGGGGAUGGUGGUCAAUGAUAAGGAGAAGGAGUCCUUUGUCAAUGAUCCAAAGGAUGACAAGCCUACUGACUCGGGCGCGAGUCACAAAAGAAAAGACAGGAGGAAGAAGAAAACGAGGCGCAUCAAGGAGAUCGUCUACUACGACGACAGCGACGAGUCCUCUUCUUCCCAAAAGGAUAACGACGACAACGACUGCGAGAAAAAGAAGACGGUUAACUCUAAUUUUUCUUUCGAUUACUCUCGUAUUCCUUAAAGUACCAAUGCCCAUUUACUCUCCAUUCCACUUGGCAAACCUCCUCACUUUGAUGGAGAGGACUACGGAUUUUGGAGUCACAAAAUGCGUAGUCACUUGUUCUCUCUCCAUCCAAGCAUAUGGGAGAUAGUAGAAAGUGGAAUGAAAUUUGAUAGUACUGAUAGUCCCAUGUUCAUCAAUGAACAAAUUCAUAAAAAUGCACAAGCUACUACUGUGUUGUUAGCCUCAUUGUGCAGGGAUGAAUACCAUAAGGUGAGCGGCUUGGAUAACGCCAAGCAGAUUUGGGACACCCUCAAGAUCUCUCAUGAGGGAAAUGACGUCAUCAUGCUCACCAAGAUGGAGUUGGUGGAGGGCGAACUUGGGAGAUUCGCAAUGAUCAGGGGCGAGGAGCCAACCCAAACGUACAAUCGGCUAAAGACCCUCGUCAACAAAAUAAGGAGAUAUGGAAGCACGCGAUGGACGGACCACGACGUCGUCCGCCUAAUGCUAAGGUCCUUUACUGUUCUUGAUCCACAUCUUGUGAACAAUAUUCGUGAGAAUCCUAGGUACACCAAGAUGACGCCCGAGGAGAUACUUGGAAAGUUCGUAAGCGGGCGGAUGAUGAUCAAGGAGGCUAGAUACGUUGAUGAUGCAUUGAAUGGCCCAAUCCAAGAGCCUCAAACUAUUGCUCUCAAGGCAACAAGGAGCAAGGAGGCGCUACCUAGCAAGGUGGCGCAAGUUGAGGCGGCCGGACUUAAUGAUGAAGAAAUGGCCCUCAUCAUCAAGCGUUUCAAGACGGCGCUAAGGGGUCGCAAGGAGCAUCCCAACAAGACCAAGACGAAGGGGAAGCACUCAUGCUUCAAAUGUGGUAAGAUUGGUCAUUUUAUCGCUAAUUGUCCCAAUAAUAAUAGUGACCAGGAACAAGGGAACAAGAGGGAAAAGAAGAAGUCUUACAAGAAGGCUAAGGGCGAGGCACACCUUGGAAAGGAGUGGGACUUGGAUUGUUCGUCGUCUGACUCCGACAACGAAGGACUCACCGCCACCGCCUUCAACAAGUCGGCCCUCUUCCCCAACGAGCAUCACACCUGCCUCAUGGCAAGGGAAAAGAAGGUAAGCACUCAUAAUGCUAGUACUUACGCUUCCUCAAGUGAUGAAGAAUCUAGCGAUGAUGAAAUAGACUACUCAUGUUUAUUCAAGGGCCUAGAUAGAACUAAGGUUGAUAAAAUUAAUGAAUUAAUUGAUGCUUUAAAUGAUAAGAAUAGGUUAUUAGAAAAGCAAGAGGAUCUCUUGUAUGAAGAACAUGAUAAGUUUGUAGAAGCACAAAAAUCCCUUGCUUUAGAAAUUAAAAGAAAUGAAAUGCUUUCUUGUGAAUUGUCUACAUGCCAUGACUCUAUCUCUAGCUUAAAGAGCAUAAAUGAUGAUUUGAGUGCUAAGUUAGAAAUAGCUAAUAAAUCAACAUCUUGUGUAGAACAUGUUGUAGUUUGCAAUAGGUGUAAAGACUUUGAUGUUGAUGCUUGUAGUGAACACCUAGUUUCAAUUUCUCAAUUGAAUGAUGAAGUGGCUAGUCUUAAUGCCCAACUUAAGACUAGCAAGAGUGAAUUUGACAAACUUAAAUUUGCAAGGGAUGCCUACAUGAUUGGUAGACACCCCUCAAUUAAGGAUGGUCUUGGCUUCAAGAGGGAAGUCAAGAGCUUAACAAGUCAUAAGGUUUCCAUCUCCGCCAAGGAGAAACGGAAGGCCCCUAUGGCUAGUAGUGCUCAAAAGAACCAUGCUUUCAUGUAUCAUGAUAGGAUACAUUCUAGGAAUGUUUAUAGAAGUUAUGAUGCUUUUGAUUCUCAUGCCAUGAUUGCUUCUAGUUCUUCUAUUAUGCAUGAUAGAAAUUUGGCUAGGAAAAAUGUUGUUCAUCAUAUGCCUAGAAGAAAUAUUGUUCAUGUUCCUAGGAAAGUAAUGGAUGAACAUUCUACAAUUUAUUAUGCUUGCAAUGCUUCCUUUGCUAUUUGUAGAAAGAAUAAGAAGGUAAUUGCUAGGAAAUUAGGGGCCAAAUGUAAGGGAGACAAGACUUGCAUUUGGGUCCCUAAGACUAUUUUAACUAACCUUGUAGGACCCAACAUGAGUUCGGUACCUAAGACCCAAGCCUAAAUUUGCCUUGCAGGUUUAUGCAUCCGAGGGCUCAAGCUGGAUUAUCGACAGCGGAUGCACAAACCACAUGACGGGGGAAAAGAGGAUGUUCUCUUCCUACGUCAAGAACAAGGAUCCCCAAGAUUCAAUCAUAUUCGGUGAUGGGAACCAAGACAAGGUGAAAGGGUUAGGAAAAAUUGCUAUUUCAUCCAAGCACUCUAUUUCAAAAGUGUUCUUAGUUGAGUCGCUUGGAUAUAACUUGUUGUCUGUUAGUCAACUUUGUAAUAUGGGAUAUAAUUGUUUAUUCACAAAUGUAGAUGUGUCUGCCUUUAGAAGAAGUGAUGGUUCACUAGCUUUUAAGGGUGUACUAGACGGCAAACUAUAUUUAGUUGAUUUUGCAAAAGAGGAGGUCGGUCUAGAUGCAUGCUUAAUUGCUAAGACUAGCAUGGGCUGGCUGUGGCAUCGCCGUUUAGCACAUGUGGGGAUGAAGAACCUUCACAAGCUUCUAAAGGGAGAACAUGGGAUAGGACUAACUAAUGUAACUUUCGAAAAAGAUAGACCUUGUGCAGCUUGUCAAGCAGGAAAACAAGUGGGAAGCUCUCAUCAUGCCAAAAAUGUGAUGACAACAUCAAGACCCCUAGAGUUACUUCAUAUAGACCUCUUCGGACCCGUCGCCUAUCUAAGCAUAGGAGGAAGUAAGUAUGGUCUUGUUAUAGUUGAUGAUUUUUCCCUGUAACACCCCGGGGUCCACAAACACCCUGGAAUGCUACUAAACAACACUUCUGACAUCUAUAUAUAAAAUUUCGGCAGCAUCCCCUUUGCAAAAUUGCAUAAAUGAGGGGGCAACAGUGUAUAAACAUACAUCAUGACAAAAAUAUACUAAGUAUUAUUAAUCGGCUAGCAAAGAGAAGUUAAACAUACGACAUGAACUGAAUUAACUAGUGCGCACGACUAGUUAAAAAAACUUCCUUUGACAAUAAAUUUCUAAUUAAAUCAUGGCUGCGCCUGGGCAGCGCUAUUGUGAGAGUGAAAGUGGACGUGCUGCUACUCCCCUCAUUCCCAACAUGUAUCAAGUACCUGCAUUGAGUAAUGCAAGAGUGAGAUGACACAUCUCAGCAAGUAAAAUAAUAUCAAACUGUUUAACCACAUAAGAACAUUGUUUUACCACCACUUGAUUCCACAACCUUCUUAUUACAAAGGUGCAGCACGUAUACAACGUACAACACACCUAGUCACCACACCUCAUAGGUAGAAACCACAAUAGUAACAUAGUAAUGUCACACUUCAUAUAUACCUCAUGAGUGCAAAUGUCUGCAAAUGCAAGGAUGACUUCUAUCUUCAUACCUCUAAGGAUAUGAAGUCGCAUCGUACCCCUCCUCGGGCAACGUACGAUGCUAAAAAUGUACCGGUAUGGUCGGACCAUAAGAUCACGACAUAACUUCAAAAUGCAAGAUGGAUGAUGCGAUGUGCAUGUCAUGCCUACAACACUUCAUAUAACGUGAUUCAAAAAGACACUUCAACUUCAUCAAGAUGGGAAUCAACCACAUAUAUCAUUACCAAAUUAUGAUCAUCCACAAUAUUAGACAAUUGAGAAUUAAUACUUCCAAACAAAUAACUUCAUCAUAGAAUUCAAUGAUUAACAUAAUUAAAACUUAUGCAUACUCAAUGACAGGGAAUAGGAUGCAAACCAAACGGUAGCAACCACCACUGUAUUUACUUGCCUUUACCGGAAGUUUGGGCAAAAACCUAAGUACGAUCCGGAAGUCCACCACCUAUUUUUGACACACAACUUAGUGCACCAAUUUCACAUAAUCAGGCUCAUAAGCGACGCCGCACCUACGCACAAACUCAAACCCCGCCGCGGGUUACAUCUCUCCCCACACCCACCAAACUGCAGCGGCGCUGCCUAAUAAUUUCAUAACUUUAAAUUUAUUACAGCAGUGGUAACAAACAAAAACUCCAGAGGCAUCUACAUAAAAUUCCCUACAAGUUUUGUAUACAAUUUAUAAUUAAAUUCCAACAUCUAAUUAGCCCAAAACAGUCCACAAGAUGAACCCUGUAAUCUGUUUUUUUUUGUCUUUUGGACAGCGACAUACCCGGAUUCAAACAGCGAUAUCUUUUAAAAUAUAAUUCCAAAUCAAGCGCAUAAGUACCCAUUGGAAAGAUAAGACAAAGCCCUACAUGAUUAUUAUACUGGUUAACACUAAUUACCCACGAAAAAUUCCCAGAAACUGCUAAUACUACUUCUGUUCACCCACCUGAAAAAUCUGUUUUUUUGGACAGCAACAUACCGGAUUCAAACAACGAUAUCUCCUAAAUUAUAACUCCGAAUCGAGCGCAUAAGUACUCGUUGGAAAGGUAUGACAAAGCUCUACAUGAUUCUCCCACUGAUCCCUACUAAUUGCCCACGAAAAAUUCCCAGAAAUCCCUAGAACUACUGUUGUUCGUCCACCCACUAAAUUUCUGGACAGCACCUCUACCAAAUCGCAUAGAUAAACAUGUAACCAAUUGGAUUGCAGCACAAAUACAACAAAAUGAUCAUGAAAAUCACCUUGGGUUCCUCCUUUCCUCCUUCUUUUCUUCCUUCUUCCUCCCUCCAAACUCCCAUGGAAGACUCGCACCCACACGACGGACACCAAGCGGGGAGGCUCCACCUUGGAGAGGAAGAGGUGGGGGGGGGCGGCUAGGGUUUAGGGGUGGCGCUGCAAUCACUUGGGGAAGAAGGAGAGAGAUUGGGGCGGCUGCAAGAGUGGAAGAGAGGAAGAGAGAGGGGGGCGGCCAAAGGGGUGGGGGAGUGAGAGGGAGGGGGCGGCUAGGGUUAAGGGGGGAAACUAAUGGGCUCCCCACCACCGGAUCGAGAUCCACGGCCCAAACUCGCUCUCACGUCUGCUCCCGACCCCAGCGCACAAAUCCAACAAGUAUUCUACUGUUUUACUGGUGAAUGCUUCCUAAAAAACUCCAACCCCAAGGGAAAAAUAAAUUUAACUUCUUUUCGGAAAAUUGGGUAUCACACUCUACCCCCCUGAAAAAGAAUUCGACCUCGAAUUCCGACGCUUCUAUCGGAACGACAAGGAAAGAUCAAUGAAUCAACAAAACUCACACAUAAAGAAAGGUUCGGGUACUUCUGCCGCAUCAGCUCCUCAAGCACCUAGGAUUCUAAGAUACGCAGCAGACGACACUCAAGAGUCUGGUCUUGCUACACAGGAAUCGGCUCUAGCUCGAUUUGAUGGUCUGGAUUCCGCAAAUACUUUCUCAACAUAAAGACAUGGAAUACAUGGUGUACUCUGAUCAUAGACUCCGACAAUUGUAGGUGCUAAGCCAAGCUGCCAACUCGGGCUAAGAUAGUAGACGGUCCUAUAUAACUCGGACAAAGCUUUCCUAACACCAAAUCAACAUUGACACAUGCAAGUACUUCAAUGAAUAUAUAUAUAUGAAUGCAAUACAUACUGUGCUCAAAUAGCCUAAACCAAACCUAUCCAAACAAGAGUAACUUCAAAAGAUCAAUUUAAUGCUUGCAUAUUUCUAGACAGCAACACAACGAUUAUUUGUUUUCCUCAUAACUCACAAAAUAUGCAUCCAAUAGAAGUAAACUAGGACUUUAUGGAAAGCUUACAAAGUCCACUAUACCCUUGGUAUUAUCAUCACCACAAGAUUUGACACUUAGAAAGGCCAAACAAUGCGAAACGUAAUUUUUGUCCAGACUUGGACAGAAUUCAACUACUCACUUCAAAAAUCCAUAAUUGGAGUCUCAGUCAUCCAAUUCAGGCGCUCAUAGACUUUUUAGAAAGCCAGUAAAAUUGUCUAUAUUUCAUUUAUAAACCUAUCAGGUUAAUUCAAUGCAUAUCAAGAUCAAAAGACAUAAGAAAGGCUUUGCUGUCCAAAUUUGGACAGAUUCAAAGAUUCCAAUUAAAACAGUUGUAGCUUAACUUAUAGGUCACCAAAAAGGGUGAUCCAAAAUUUGUUGGAAGGCUUAAGAAAAGUACUACCACUUCUUUAUAAUUUAUAAGAACUGAUUCGAAGUUUAACUUGGGCAAACAAGGUCAGUUUCGAAAUCUGUACAGAAUCUGGACAAUUUCCAAGACUAGACUUGAGAAAAUCAUAACUCCCAAACUACUGGACCUAUGGUCAUGAAAUUUUACACAAGUAAGAUGAAGAAAUUGGCUACAACUUUUAUAUACAACACCUCUACCGAAAACAUGGUGUAAUUCAUUGAACUAGUGGCAUAACCAAAAUUGGUCAUGUAGCCCCGAACAUCAAGCAAUAGAUUUAUUCAGGUUCUAUACUCUUCUAAGAUUAAGCGUUCAUCGAAGGACUAAUAACUUUAGGUUCUUCAUUACGAGACACUUAGAGCCAACAUAAGGGUAGAAGCAAUAUGCUUACUUUUUAAAUCAUUUUACAUGCAAGCAAGAAUCGAUUUAAGCAUACUACGCCUGCCCAUAUAUCCAUCCAAGCACAUUCUAUACAUUAUAUCAUCCCAUCGAAGAACUCUCUCUUUUUUUUUUAAUUAUACUAUGCAUAUAUAUAUCCAUCCAAUAACUCACACAAUCUGCAUCUCCACCUAGACUUCACACGACGUAACUAUUUUAUACUUACGCAAACACGCCAAGACCAGCAAACAUGGCUUCACAACAAUACGUACUGGCCUAUUCAAAUAUCCCUCGCUAUCUCUCUGUUUCAGCCCACGCUCCGCAUAUACAAUAACAACAUAACUAUCACAACCACUACAUCUAUUCCCUCCCACCAUACAACAUAAUUAACAUGGAUUGCGAAAGAGCUCACCAUAACUAAACCAAACUCCCAAAGAAAUAUCCUUAAAUAGAAAAUUGACUAUCAACAACACAAAUGCUCAUUCUGUCUCUACCUCUUUCACUAUAAAAUCAAUGAUAACAAAGAAAUAUUGUAAAAUCAUCUAAACUUCAUGACCUACAACUUUUGUAUUCAAAGGAUAAACAAAGUUUUAUUUUAUCUCCAUUUUUUUUAAUUUGGCUUGUAAGGCGACAUACAUGAUCUGCCACCAGAACCUGACGAAACAUGACCCAUAAAUUCAAAACCUCAUAACUCUCUACAUCUAACAAAAUUUUACAAAUAUAAACUCAUUGAAAAUAUUAUAACAUUCCCUAAAAAUUUUAUUGUAAUGAGUGUCUCAGAAUUGGUUUCCAAACCGAAAAAACAAUGCAACUGCUUUGUUGCAAAACUGAUAGGUUAGAAACAAUGGACAACUAAAAUUCAAAAUACUAUAACUCCUGCUAUACUCAACUUAAAACUACAACGAACACGCGUUGGAAAAGUUUGGAAAUUGUCCACGACUUUUGCAAUAAAGUUGCACCCAAAUUUAUCUUUAUAGCCCUCAACUCUGUAUGACCUACAGCUAAACUCAGCCUGAGAUACUGCACAUCAGAGAUUCGACUUAUAUCCGGACAACCACCUCUCCCAAUCUAUUUAACAGACAAUUACAAGUAAAUACCCAUUAAAAGGUACUAAGAAAAACUAAAAGUUUUUCUUAAAGAGAAUUCCCAAAUUUGAGCUUUGAAACUAUCAAAACGCGGUCGAUUUAUUAGUGGUUUUUAACGACACCUAAAGUUCAGACACAACGGUGCAACAACUUCAGAGUAGCCUAACUCCAAUUAUAUGGAAUGAAAAUUACAAACCAAUACUCUUUGGGAAGAUCAUGAAAUUACUAAAACUUUCAUAAUCCAACAAAACCCAAAAUUUACCGUAUUCAAUGUCUAUACUUCCGUACAAAAUUAAGGCUGCUAUAGGAAACCCAUAACUCUCAAAUGUUUAGACCAAACUGGGUGAUUGAGCAUCCUAUGCAAAGAUGAAGAAACCUACUACAAAACAUUCUAGAUAAGUGAAGCCUGAUUCAGCCUCCAACUAAUUUAAAAUGACUCCCAAAACAAAACAACACCUUACCCAUAAUAAAAAACAAUAUAAAAUAAAACCCAAGGCAUUGGCAGGUGCGAUCAACACUAGGAUUUUGCACUACCAAAUGGGGAUGCAACUCCCCAAAGCCUUUAAGCAACACUUUACCUAAUAGGUUAGAACACUAAGCACAUCAAUCAACGAAUUCAACAACCUCAUUUGUUAAUGCCACUAAGGUCAAACAUCCAUGUAUCGACAAUGUAUGAAACACCUGACAUACCCGUCUCUAGCACUAUAAAACAUGGUUGUUAUUACACUAGAAUCCAACUAUUAGAGCUCUCCACAACUAUUCUGUUGACGUGAAGCAAAUGGUGCUCAUGUCAUGUAACGUCUUUUCCUCCUCUCAAAAGAGAUAAAAUUUGCAAUACUCAUAAAGCAAUGGAGGGAUAACAACAAGAAAAACUAAUGUACUUCUUGACACAGACUCAUGCAAAAGCUUCAUAAAUAUUACUUUCAAUACUAAAAUAAUAACACGAUACUAUGCUCAACAGGAGUAAUUGGACGUCAAUAAGACAAUCCACAUAACCAAACUACCUUCAUUAACCUCACAUACAACAAAACCUACUAUUACCGCACUUGAACAAUUUGUACCUCGUGAUAUCACAGGAUGCAUUCAAAGUAGUAGACAUACAUGAUCUAUCAGACCAUCAUUCAUAAAAGAAAAAUCUCAAUCCGAUGCAACAACCCCAUCAUUAAAGAGAUAGAUGACUAACAAACAUAAGCAACUCCCAGUUAAGCAUUGACUUCGUUUAAGAUAAAGCGGUCCAAAUAAUGAUUCAAUAAGCAUGCAUAGAGAAACUGCUCAUAAAAAAAAUCAAACUGCCAUACAAUGUUGGCAAAUAAAAAAAUAUAAAACAGGUUGUCAAUAUCGCCCACAUGACUAGCCUGCAACAACUAAAAAUUAUGCAUAGCCUUUAUGGCUAUUGAAACAAGCCAUAGAAGGAAAACAUGCACGACAUAAAAUCCACUUGAAACCACCCUAUUUAUUGUUAAAAAUAAGGUUGCACAUAAUAAGAAAAUCUAUCAGGUAGACAUGGUUGGACUUAUCAAUCUACGUCAUCUCACAAAUUCACUCGAGUUCUACCAGUCUAAAGAUUUCAUAGACAUUACAAUGUUGCCUCUGCUCUAUAGAGACAAACCAAUUUUAUACUAAGAUCAAGUUAGCAAGUAGCCACACUAGCCUAAAAAAAGUGAGGCGCAAAGCAUUGCACCCAUGGAAAUAUUACAUUGAUAAGUUGGGUUGUAACCCAACAGUCAAUCAAACUCAACAACACCAUAAAACUACAUUAUAUAGUGUUUUCACACUACACCAAGUCGGAUUAGACCCACUAUACACAAGCUCAAUAAACAAUCGGUCCUAUAAGUACAAGAACCCAAGAAUCCUUUUGGAAAAAAAACAUCCACAAUCAAGCAUAUAGAAAUAUAUGAUGGUAAUAGCUCAGAGAAUUCAAAACAUUGCAUUCCAAAAAACAUCAUGACGAUAUGUAUAUAAAACAAGUACAUUAGUAUCUUCACUUGCAUAAUAUCUUCAAUAACAACCACAUCAAGAAACCAAUAUUAAAUAGAAGUAACAUAUCAUAUCAAGCAUUACGUCGUUAACGACAUACCCCAUCAAACCAUAAAGGGAUUUGGAGUAAGGAAGUUCUAGUCAUCUAUACAAUAAAAUACUAAUAUGAAAGAUAUACGAACCCAUACCCUUCCUAUAUGUGCAAGUGUGUCAAAUUUAUCUUCAAAUUGCGUAGAAUCUGAAGCCUAUCCUCUGAAACCAACUGUAACACCCCAGGGUCCACAAACACCCUGGAAUGCUACUAAACAACACUUCUGACAUCUAUAUACAAAAUUUCGGCAGCAUCCCCUUUGCAAAAUUGCAUAAAUGAGGGGGCAACAGUGUAUAAACAUACAUCAUGACAAAAAUAUACUAAGUAUUAUUAAUCGGCUAGCAAAGAGAAGUUAAACAUACGACAUGAACUGAAUUAACUAGUGCGCACGACUAGUUAAAAAAACUUCCUUUGACAAUAAAUUUCUAAUUAAAUCAUGGCUGCGCCUGGGCAGCGCUAUUGUGAGAGUGAAAGUGGACGUGCUGCUACUCCCCUCAUUCCCAACAUGUAUCAAGUACCUGCAUUAAGUAAUGCAUGAGUGAGAUGACACAUCUCAGCAAGUAAAAUAAUAUCAAACUGUUUAACCACAUAAGAACAUUGUUUUACCACCACUUGAUUCCACAACCUUCUUAUUACAAAGGUGCAGCACGUAUACAAUGUACAACACACCUAGUCACCACACCUCAUAGGUAGAAACCACAAUAGUAACAUAGUAAUGUCACACUUCAUAUAUACCUCAUGAGUGCAAAUGUCUGCAAAUGCAAGGAUGACUUCUGCCUUCAUACCUCUAAGGAUAUGAAGCCGCAUCGUACCCCUCCUCGGGCAACAUACGAUGCUAAAAAUGUAUCGGUACGGUCGGACCAUAAGAUCACGACAUAACUUCAAAAUGCAAGAUGGAUGAUGCGAUGUGCAUGUCAUGCCUACAACACUUCAUAUAACGUGAUUCAAAAAGAUACUUCAACUUCAUCAAGAUGGGAAUCAACCACAUAUAUCAUUACCAAAUUAUGAUCAUCCACAAUAUUAGACAAUUGAGAAUUAAUACUUCCAAACAAAUAACUUCAUCAUAGAAUUCAAUGAUUAACAUAAUUAAAACUUAUGCAUACUCAAUGACAGGGAAUAGGAUGCAAACCAAACGGUAGCAACCACCACUGUAUUUACUUGCCUUUACCGGAAGUUUGGGCAAAUCCCUAAGUACGAUCCGGAAGUCCACCACCUGUUUUUGACACACAACUUAGUGCACCAAUUUCACAUAAUCAGGCUCAUAAGCGACGCCGCACCUACGCACAAACUCAAACCCCGCCGCGGGUUACAUCUCUCCCCACACCCACCAAACUACAGCGGCGCUGCCUAAUAAUUUCAUAACUUUAAAUUUAUUACAGCAGUGGUAACAAACAAAAACUCCAGAGGCAUCUACAUAAAAUUCCCUACAAGUUUUGUAUACAAUUUAUAAUUAAAUUCCAACAUCUAAUUAGCCCAAAACAGUCCACAAGAUGAACCCUGUAAUCUGUUUUUUUUGUCUUUUGGACAGCGACAUACCCGGAUUCAAACAGCGAUAUCUUUUAAAAUAUAAUUCCAAAUCAAGCGCAUAAGUACUCAUUGGAAAGAUAAGACAAAGCCCUACAUGAUUAUUAUACUGGUUAACACUAAUUACCCACGAAAAAUUCCCAGAAACUGCUAAUACUACUGCUGUUCACCCACCUGAAAAAUCUGUUUUUUUGGACAGCAACAUAACCGGAUUCAAACAACGAUAUCUCCUAAAUUAUAACUCCGAAUCGAGCGCAUAAGUACUCGUUGGAAAGGUAUGACAAAGCUCUACAUGAUUCUCCCACUGAUCCCCACUAAUUGCCCACGAAAAAAAUCCCAGAAAUCCCUAGAACUACUGUUGUUCGUCCACCCACUAAAUUUCUGGACAGCACCUCUACCAAAUCGCAUAGAUAAACAUGUAACCAAUUGGAUUGCAGCACAAAUACAACAAAAUGAUCACGAAAAUCACCUUGGGUUCCUCCUUUCCUCCUUCUUUUCUUCCUUCUUCCUCUCUCCAAACUCCCAUGGAAGACUCGCACCCACACGACGGACACCAAGCGGGGAGGCUCCACCUUGGAGAGGAAGAGGUGGGGGGGGGCUAGGGUUGAGGGGUGGCGCUGCAAUCACUUGGGGAAGAAGGAGAGAGAUUGGGGCGGCUGCAAGAGUGGAAGAGAGGAAGAGAGAGGGGGGGCGGCCAAAGGGGUGGGGGAGUGAGAGGGAGGGGGCGGCUAGGGUUAAGGGGGGGGGGGGGAAACUAAUGGGCUCCCCACCGCCGGAUCGAGAUCCACGGCCCAAACUCGCUCUCACGUCUGCUCCCGACCCCAGCGCACAAAUCCAACAAGUAUUCUACUGUUUUACUGGUGAAUGCUUCCUAAAAAAACUCCAACCCCAAGGGAAAAAUAAAUUUAACUUCUUUUCGGAAAAUUGGGUAUCACAUUCCCGCUUCACUUGGGUAUUCUUUUUGCAGGAUAAAUCUGAAACCCAAGGGACCCUCAAGCGCUUCCUAAGGAGAGCCCAAAACGAGUUUGAGCUCAAAGUGAAGAAGAUAAGGAGCGACAAUGGGUCCGAGUUCAAGAACCUUCAAGUGGAGGAGUACCUUGAGGAGGAAGGAAUCAAGCACGAGUUCUCCGCUCCCUACACACCACAGCAAAAUGGUGUAGUAGAGAGGAAGAAUAGGACACUUAUAGACAUGGCGAGGACAAUGCUUGGAGAGUUCAAGACGCCCGAGCGGUUUUGGUCGGAAGCCGUGAACACGGCUUGCCAUGCCAUCAAUCGGGUCUACCUUCAUCGCCUCCUCAAGAAGACGUCAUACGAGCUACUAACCGGUAACAAACCCAAUGUUUCGUAUUUCCGAGUUUUUGGGAGUAAAUGCUACAUUCUAGUGAAGAAAGGUAGGAAUUCCAAAUUUGCUCCCAAAGCGGUAGAAGGGUUUUUGUUAGGGUAUGACUCAAAUACAAAGGCGUAUAGGGUCUUCAACAAAUCAUCGGGUUUGGUUGAAGUCCCUAGCGACGUCGUAUUUGAUGAGACUAAUGGCUCUCCAAGAGAGCAAGUUGUUGAUCUUGAUGAUGUAGAUGAAGAAGACGUUCCAACGGCCGCAAUACGCACCAUGGCGAUUGGAGACGUGCGGCCACAGGAACAAAAGGAGCAAGAUCAACCUUCUUCCUCAACAAUGGGGCAUCCCCCAACUCAAGACGAUGAACAGGUUCAUCAAGAGGAGGCAUGUGAUCAAGGGGGAGCACUGGAUGUCCAAGAGGAAGAGGAACAAGCACCCCAGGCCCCUCCAACUCAAGUUCGAGCAACGAUUCAAAGGAAUCAUCCCGUCGACCAGAUUUUGGGUGACAUUAGCAAGGGAGUAACUACUCGCUCUAGAUUAGUUAAUUUUUGUGAGCAUUACUCCUUUGUCUCUUCUAUUGAGCCUUUCAGGGUAGAAGAGGCCUUGCUAGAUCCGGACUGGGUGUUGGCCAUGCAGGAAGAGCUCAAUAACUUCAAAAGAAAUGAAGUUUGGACACUGGUGCCUCGUCCCAAGCAAAAUGUUGUGGGAACCAAGUGAGUGUUCUGCAACAAACAAGAUGAGCACGGAGUGGUGACAAGGAACAAGGCUCGACUUGUGGCAGAAGGUUAUGCCCAAGUCGCAGGUUUGGACUUUGAGGAGACUUUUGCUCCUGUGGCUAGGCUAGAGUCCAUUCGUAUUUUGCUAGCAUAUGCCGCUCACCAUUCUUUCAGGUUGUUCCAAAUGGAUGUGAAGAGCGCUUUCCUCAACGGGCCAAUCAAGGAGGAGGUGUACGUGGAGCAACCCCCUGGCUUCGAGGAUGAAUGGUACCCCGACCACGUGUGUAAGCUCUCUAAGGCGCUCUAUGGACUUAAGCAAGCCCCAAGAGCAUGGUAUGAAUGCCUUAGAGAAUUUUUAAUUGCUAAUGCUUUCAAGGUUGGGAAAGCCGAUCCGACUUUAUUCACUAAGACUUGUGAUGAUGAUUUAUUUGUGUGCCAAAUUUAUGUCGAUGACAUAAUAUUUGGUUCUACUAACCAAAAGUCUUGUGAAGAGUUGCGUAGUGAGCUAAAUGUCUUAGAUUCGCGGAACUUGGAUUGAUCUAUAGCAUACAUGUGUUUAUGCCUUGAUCAUGUUCCUUAAUGCAUUUUCUUGUUUAUUUAUGGUGCUCAAGUUGUACAAGUACUCCCCGGACCUCACAAGUCCGUUUGCAAGUGAUGCACAUAUUUAGGGGGAGAUGUGCUACAACUUGACCCUUUGAGACUAACUGUGUGCUUGAGUUUGCUCAAUUUAGUCACAAAGGAGGUUUGAAAGGGAAAAGGUGGACUUGGACCAUGCAAGACUUCCACUGCACUCCGAUGAAAGAGUAAAUGAUUCCAAGUUCAUCUUUGUACUCUUAUUGCCUUUGUACUCUUAUUUGAAGAUUUUGGUGAGGCAAUGGGGUUUAAGGGCCAAGAUUGAUCCUGUUUUGGUGCUUGAUGCCAAAGGGGGAGAAAAUAAGGCCAAAGCAACAAAUGGAUCAGCUACCACUUGAGAAUUUUGAAAAUAGUAGAAUAGAGCUUUUGGUUAGUCAAAAAUCUCUUAUUGUCUCUUUUGUCAAAAGUUGGCCUCUUGUGGGGAGAAUGGUUAAUUAUGGGAAAAAGGGGGAGUUUUUGAAAUCUUUGAUCAAUUUCUCUUGGAACAACUCACUUUAUGUCUCAACAAGUGUGUUUGACUUAGAGAUAGGAAAUUGAGGUCGAUUUGCAAAAACAAACCAAGUGGUGGCAAAGAAUGAUCCAAAUAUGCCAAAUUUGAUUCAAAGCAAAUUUGUGUUCUCAUUUGAAUUGAUGUUGCACUUCUUUUAGUUGCUUUUAUGUUGUGUUGGCAUAAAUCACCAAAAAGGGGACAUUCAAAGGGAAAUGUGCCCUUGGGCCAUUUCUAAGUAUUUUGGCGAUUUAGUGUCCAACACAAGUGCUUAAAUGAUAAAUUAUGCCAAAUGGUGGAUAAGGUGCAAAUCAAUACAAAGGUAUGAUUCUAGACUUAGUACAUUGGUUUUUGUGUACUAACAUGUUUGUCUAAGUGCUAGAAUCAGAGAAAAUACAAUUGAAAAAGCUUGGAUCGAAGCAGCCAAGAGUCAGCUCAGACUGGGUGCGCCGGACUGUACGGUGGUGCACCGGACAGUGUCCGGUGCGCCAGGCUGGCGUCUGUCAACUGGCUGCUCUCGGGACUUCGACGGCGGCGUACGGCUAUAAAUCACCGGACUGUCCGGUGGUGCACCGAACUGUCCGGUGAGCCAACAGUCGGCUCGGCCAACGGUCGGCCGCGUAAUCCGCUCGCGACGCGUGGCAGAGCCAACGGUCAGAAGGGGGCACCGGAAUGUCCGGUGUGCACCGGACAGUGUCCGGUGCGCCAAUGGCUCCAAAGCGCCAACGGUCGGCUUCGCCAUAGAAGGAAAGAAAUCCGCACCGGACAGUGUCUGGUGGUUCACCGGACUGUCUGGUGCGCCAGGCGACAGAAGGCAAGAAUUGCCUUCUUGAAAUGCUCUCAACGGCUCCUAGCUGCCUUGGGGCUAUAAAAGGGACCCCUAGGCGCAUGGAGGAGUACACCAAGCAUCCUUUGAGCAUUGUUGAUCACUCACACUUCAUUCUUGCGCACUUGUUCGACAUUCUUAGUGAUUUGAGCUCCGUUCCAGUGAGAACCUUGAGAUAUUGUGUUGAGCUCAAGUCUUGAUAUUGUGUGUGCAUAUUUGUUGUGGUUUUGAGUGUGUCGCUUUCCUCCCUUACUCUAGAGCUUCAUUUUGAUUCUUAUUGUAAGGGCGAGAGACUCUAAGUUGUGGAGAUUCCUCGCAAACGGGAAAGAGUAAAGUAAAGAAGAUCACUGUGGUAUUCAAGUUGAUCAUUGGAUCACUUGAGAGGAGUUGAGUGCAACUCUCGUCCGUUGGGACGCCACAACGUGGAGUAGGCAAGUUUUGUACUUGGCCGAACCACGGGAUAAAUCCUCGUGUCUCUUGUGCUUGUCUUUACUGUGUCUGUUGUGUUUCACAAGAGAACUCCUUUCUAGCCACUUGGCGUUAUUGUGCUAACUCCUAAUCAAGUUUUGUUGGAUUAAGUUUCAAGUUUUUACAGGAUCACCUAUUCACCCCCCUCUAGGUGCUCUCAAUUAUCCAUUUCCCAUUAGCUUUCUUCACCAUAACGGUGUUAGCCGGCCACUCUGGAUAUGUUACUUCUCUGAUAACACCGGUACUGAGAAGUCUCUUUACUUCAUUUCGUGCACCUUCGGCUUUAUCAUCAGACAUUUUCGGAAGCCUCUGCUUUCUUGGUCUGAAGGAUGGGUCCACAUUGAGUGAAUGCUCAAUGACGUCUCUAUUGACACCAUAGAGAUCAUUAGCUGUCCAAGCGAAGACAUCUUCGUUGUUGAACAAGAAUCUAAGCAGAGUCUUUUCCUGUUCACCGGAUAGCUGAGAUCCCCGCAAUACCUUUUGGUUUGCUAUGUCUUCACACAAGAGCAUAGGCUUUGGCUGAUCUGCUGAAGCAGCCUUCUCUCUUUUGUGCUUAUACUACUAAUAAGCUUCGGCUUCAUCUAUAUUAUGGAUAGCCUUCGAAUCCGUCCAACUCCCUUCAGCCCUCCUAGCAGCUUCUUGACUUCCGUGAACAACAAUAGGCCCUUGUUCCAAAGGUAUCAUCAUGCAUAAAUAUGCUAGAUGAAGUAUUGCUUCGAAGGCAUUAAGCGUCCCUUGACCAAUGAUUGCAUUGUAUGGAUACUCCAUAUCAACAAUGUCAAAGACAACCUGUUCAGUUCUUGUGUUAUGGACAUAGCCGAAGGUAAGUGACAUUGUUAUCUUGCCAAGUGCCACAAUCUAUCUUCCUCCAAAGCCACAAAGAGGGUGCGUUGCAUCGUGUAUCUUAUCUUCUGGCUCUUUCAUUUGCCUGAAAGCCUUUGCAAAGAUAAUGUCCGCUGCGCUGCCUAUGUCAACUUGGACAUUGUGGACCAGAAAUCCCUUGAUGGCACAAGAUAUAACCAUUGCAUCGUUGUGGGGAUAAUCUUUGAGCUGAAGAUCUUCCUGAGAGAAGGUAAUUAGAAUGUGAGACCACAUGGAUUUGAUGAAGGGUCCUUGCACCCCAACUUGUUGUACCCUUCUUUGUGCUUCCUUCUUCUCCUUCUUGUUGGCUGGUUUAGAGCUUGAACCACUUGUGAUUGGGAGCACCAGCUUCGUGGCUGAAGGUGCUACAGCUUGAUUGUUGUGCGAAGCCAUCGUCACAACCGUGGAAGUGAGUUCACCGGAGGUGGGCGCCAAUGUUGGUCCUUGUUCUCGGAUGCUACACAUCAAGAACAAAGCAACACAAUUGUUAACGAUUAGGGACCUUCGUCCUUCGAAGCAUUAUCUCCCCUGGGAUAUAUGAUCUUCAGGCGAAGGUCAAGAAGGGCAUACCUUCAUCAUUUCAGUGAAUGAAAUAUAAAUAAAGACAUAUGAAAUACAAAGGAAUAUAAACAAUCAUUACAAAUCAUUAUAUUAUUUACAUUAUCGUUUUAUAAACAUGGAUAAACAUCAAUGAUAUUUAUAUUACAUUUAUACCUUCGGUUUGACAGAAGAUGGAAAAGCGAGAGUGACGCGAGAGUGAUUAUAAUUCAGCGUGAACAGUACGGGGGUACUGUUCAUCUAUUUAUAGGCAUGGGACGCAGCCCGGACAAAAUUACAUCCAUGUCCCUGAUAAUUAAUUAUAAUCAUAUUACAGAUUAUCAGGGGCUAUACAGUCUUUUCCUCUUUAAGUUGGUAUCGUCCUUCGUCUUUAGCAUGUCACCAUGCCGAAGCUCCUUCAAUCGUAGCUUUGGCUUAUAUCUUCAUGUCACACCUGCUUAUGUAUUGUCCUACCGAAGGUGUUUUUGCUUAGAGGACCUUCGGCGAAGAAGAAGGCCCCCAACAUAACCUAUCAUAGACAGGUAUGCCUUUUGAUCAACGGACUUACCUCCUUUGUCGAGGUCCAAGUGUCCGUCCAUUCCCAUCGGCGUCUUAGAGGGCUUUGCAUCCUUCAUCCCAAACCUCUUGAGUAAGUCUUGAGUGUACUUCGUUUGAGAGAUGAAGGUUCCUUCCUUGAUUUGCUUUACUUGGAAUCCAAGGAAGUAGUUCAACUCGCCCAUCAUAGACACCUCGAAUUUCUGCAUCAUUACCCUGCUAAACUCAUCACAAGACUUUUGAUUAGUAGAACCAAAAAAUAUGUCAUCGACAUAUAUUUGGCAUACAAACAAAUGACCAUUAAAAGUCUUAGUAAAAAGAGUAGGAUCAGCUUUCCCAACCUUGAAAGCAUUGGACAUAAGACUGAUUAUAAGAACCACAAGAGUAAGGGAGGGAACAGAAACACACACAAGAACUAGAGUCGCAACAACAACACGCACACAAGUCAAGAACUGAGCACUCAAAACAACGCAGCGGAGCCACAGCUCAAAGAAGUGCUCAAAUCUCAAAUGGAAUGAAUAGAAUGCGUGCUUGCAGAGUCUAGGCAUCUUAGGAUGUUCAAUGGAGACUUGGUGUAGUGCUCCAUGCGCCUAGGGAUCCCUUUUAUAGCCCCAAGGCAGCUAGGAGCCGUUAGAGUUCCAUUUGGAAGGCUUUGGUUGCCUUCUGUCUGUGGGCGCACCGGACAGUCCGGUGCACCACCGGCUAGUGAACAGUGCGUGAUCUCCUUCCUUUUCUAGCAAAGACGAUCGUUGCCAGCCACGGCCCAUGUGGCACACGCACUGGACUGAGCCACGUGUCACUCGCUGAUCGCUCGGUCGACCGCUGGUCGGGCGCGCGGCUGGCACACCGGACAGUCCGGUUAAUUAUAGCCACGGUGCCCUCAGCAUUUUCCCGAGAGUGACCUGUUCGCCAAGGCGCCAGCCUAGGCACCGAACACACACAUGCUGGUGCAAGUUUGGCUAGACUUAGCCAAACUUCUCCAAUCCAAUUUCUCUCGAUUUGACAAGGUUCCUAGCACUUAGUAGAAUAAUGUUAGUACCAAAAACAAUUUACUAAGUCUAGCAUCAUACCUUGCUUUUUCCAUUUGCAUAUCUUUGAUACUUAGCUUAUAUCAAACAAAACAAUAUGUGUUGAGCAUCUCAUCACUAAAACAUUUAUAGAAAUGGCCCAAAGGCACAUUUCCUUUCAGUUUUUUUGUUGAGUUGUUUUUAGAGGAUCACCUAUUCACCCCCCUCUAGGUGCUCUCAAUUGGUAUCGAAGUCGUUCUCUUCAUCAAGGGACUAACCGCCCAAAGAGAUGGAUCCCAAGGGCAAGGGGGUGGUGAUCAACGACAAAUAGAAGGAGACUCUCAACAUAAAUGAGCCAAAAGGUGACAAGCCCACCGACUCAGGCUCAAACAACAAAAGGAAGGAUGGGAGGAAGAAGAGACACAUCAAGAAAAUCAUAUACUACGAUAGUGACACCUCCUCUUCUGCACCAAGGAAUUAGCCUUUAUGAAAGGGAAAUGUACCCUUGGGCCAUUUCUAAAUGUUUUGGUGAUUAAGUGCCUAACACAUCACUUUGAACUAACAUGCUACUAUGAGUAUGAGCUCAGAGUCAAAGAAAAGGAAAUUGAAGUCUUGGAAGAAAGUUGAACAUCCUAUACAAUUGGAGAAACUAAGGUAUGAUUCUAGCACUUAGUAAAAUGUUUUGGUAUUAACUAUGUUCUACUAAGUGCCAGGGAACUUCUCAAAAUGAGAGAAAUUCAAUUGGAGAAGUUUGGCUUAGGGUAGCCAAACUUGGACCAGUCUACGGUGCACCGGACUGUCCGGUGCGUUUCCGGUGCUCAGGCUGCGUACCCAGCGAACAAGCCACUCUCGGGAAAAAGCCAGGGUGCCGCGGCUAUAAUUCACUGGACUGUCUGGUGUGUCAGCCACGCGCCUGGCCAACGUCGACCGUGCGAUCAGCGGGCACCACUUGGGCUCGGCCAACGGUUACUAGGCCGCACCGGACUAUCUAGUGUGCCACCGGACUGUCCGGUGUGCAAAGGGACCAGAGGGUGGCAAUAGCCGGCUUCGCCAAAUAAGGAAGGUAUCGUGCACUGUUCAAUGUCCGGUGGUGCUCCGGACUGUCUAGUGCGCCAACUGACAGAAGGCAAUCAGAGCCUCGCUAAUGGAGCUCCAACGGCACCUGUGUCCUUGGGGCUAUAAAAGGGACACCUAGGCGCAUGGAGCACUACACCAAGCAUCAUUUGAACAUCCUAAUACACUGAGACAUUGCGAUCAUGCUAGAGCUUUGAUAGUUUGAGAUUUGAGCAAGAGUUUGAAUUGUAAUUCAACUAUGUUGUUUCUUAUGCUCCUCUCUCAACUUGUUAGUGUGUUUUGCUAUGAUUUUUGUCUCUUGUGUGCGGUUCUACUCCCCCUUACUCUUGUGUUCAUUUGAGAUCAAAUUGUGUAAGGCGUGAGGGACUCCAAAUUGUGGAGAUUCCUCACAACAGAAAAAAGUUGAGAUAAGAAAUAGAACCGUGGUACUCAAGUUGAUCAGUGGAUCGCUUGAGAGGGGUUGAGUCCAUCCCUCGUCCAUUGGGACACCACAACAUGGAUUAGGCAAGCAUUUUACGCUUGACCAAACACGGGAUAAAAUCGCCAUGUCAUCUGUCUUUAUACCUUAUAGCGAUUCUACUCUUUCUUAUAGUUCACUUCACUUCAUAAUUGCUCUAAGUUUAAUACUCACCUUGUGAGAGCAAUUAAGUGAAGAAGUUCACUCCUCUCAUCUUCUUCAUUCAGACUUGGCUCUUGCUUUCACUAAUCCAAUAUUAGUCCAAGUUUGUUUUGUUGAGUUGUUUUUACAGGAUCACUAUUCACCCCCUCUAGGUGCUCUCAAUUUGGUACUGUCGAAAACGGUCAUUCAUGGUCGUUUUUCGGCCAAAAAUAUUGGUCGUGUACUCAUGGACCUUUGGUGAGAGGCUCCUAUUACUUACCCCAUACAUAUUACCUUGCUAAAAUUUAGUUUCUUGUGUUUUUGGCAGAGCAUUUAUUCAUGUAAAAUCUAUAGGUGUUAGCAUUUAGUAUUGCCGAAAACAGACGUUCAAGCCUGUCAUGGGUGUAGUAAAUCCAAAGGACUCAUUAUUUAUGAGUAUAAGCUAGCUAGAAAAUUAUUGUCUUAGCUCGGUGGUGGCUCAAGAAUGUGUGAUACUCAAUAGAUCUAGACAUCAAAAAAACUUGAAUUCAGUAAACUAGCUAACAAAAAAAUGUGAAACAUGAAAACUGGCCUGAUAUCAUGGGAUGUCCAAAAUUUACACAAGAAAAUGGAUUUGUUGGGGACUUGUUCUCAAAUGCUAUGAGUUAAGAACAAGGCAACACAAAUGUUAAUGGUUAAAGGCGUUCGUCCUUCGAAGCAUUAUCUCCCUUAGGAUAUAAUGAUCUUCAGACGAAGUCUUGAAGGGUAUACCUUCGUCAUCCCAAUAUAUAAUAGAAAGCAGAAGUAUAAAUUACAUAUAAAGAAUAUGAAUAGGCAUCUCAAAUCAUUAGAUCAUUUAUAUAUUUAUUGAAUAACCAUGAAUGAACAUUAAUGAUAUUGAAUUACACUUGUACCUUUGGCUUGACGGAAGGCAAAAGUCUGAGAGUGACGUGCGAGCGGUUACAAGUCAGCGUGAACAGUACAGUGUUACUAUUCAUCUAUUUAUAGGCACAGGACGCAGCCUGUGUAAAAUUACAUCCAUGCCCUUGACAUUUAUUAUUGACUAAGGGCAAACUAUCGAGGACUAGACAACCUUUUCCUCUUUAGGUCGGUUUCAUUUUCCACCGCUAAGCCAAAGCUUCUCCAUCCGUAGCUUCGGAACUGGUUGGUCCUUCUCCCAGAUCGCGCCUUUCAUUCCACGCGCACCUUCAUCUCAAGGCCGAAGGUUCCUGUGAAAGUAUAUUAUACUUGGAAAACAUGUUAGUCGUGUUUCUGAGGACCUUCGGAAGAUGAAGGCCCCCAACAGGAUUUAAGAAACAACACAUGCUUGAGUGCCAAGUUUGCCAUGUUUGACAUGUCAGAACCAACAAAAAGUCGAGAAAUCAUAAUCCAAAAAGAGCAAAAGGAGUGGAACAAGAGUGAAGGUGAUUUGUUGUUUAUAGUUUACUUUAUUUUAUAAAAGAAUUUAAAAAGGGAGUUGGAAAAGAGUGAAUGAGGUUUAUUGUCUAUAGUUUUUAAGGGGCAUGGAGUGGGACAAGAGCGACAGUGAUUUGAUGUUUAUAGUUUUUAAAGAUGAUUUGAUGUUUAUAGUUUUUAUAAGGAAAUAAGUAGAGAACUGAUGAUGACUACAUGCUUUUGCUUUUUGUUUCUUUUCUUUUGAGAGGAGUGCAUGUCAUGCGUUUGUUUUGAACUUUUGCAUGAGAGGAAAAGAGCUAGGACCUACUUAUAGCAAUUGUGUACACGUGUUAGUCUUUGAACUAGCUGGCCAGGGUUUUUUCAAGGAACAAAAAUAGGACGGCCAGCGAUGUCUGUGGCGUGCCAUACGUUAAUGUCUAGCUUCCUUGCCUCCAUUGUCCAUAAAUACAUGAGCAUCUGCAACAUCGAUCUCCACACACACACAUCCAUCAAAGAAACAAGCGCACAAGAUCAAAUACCUCGCCGCCAACAAUGGCCUCCAGGUCCUCCAUCCUGCUCGCCAUGGUGAUGCUGGCUGCGCUAUUCGUCGUUGGUUUGUGCACCACCCCCCUCACCUUCCAGGUCGGCAAGGGAUCCAAGCCUGGCCACCUGAUCCUCACCCCCAAUGUUGCCACCAUAUCCGACGUGGAGAUCAAAGAGCACGGUGGCGAUGACUUCUCCUUUACGCUCAAGGAGGGCCCGACUGGCACCUGGACGCUCGACACCAAGGCCCCGCUCAAGUACCCCCUUUGCAUCCGCUUUGCUGUCAAGUCCGGCGGCUACCGCAUCGCCGACGACGUCAUCCCUGCCGAUUUCAAGGCCGACACCACCUAUAAGACCACACUCAGCAUCUAAUCAAUCUCUGGUGAUGAAUUAGAUUUCAAAAGAGCUCAUCUAGCGCACAUGUUAGCAAGACAAUAUUAUUUUUUCUAUGGUUAUUUUGUGGAACCAAACCACCCAAGAAAUAAGUGAUGCUAGAUGUACCUUCUGACCUUGUUGUAUUGGGUUGAUAUUAUUACAUAAACUAAAUACAUUAUUUAUUUAAGAUUUUAGGAGAAAUAUGUUGAUCUGGUCCACCUUCAUUAUCGAGAUGGUUGUAAAUUACAUUUUCCAAUUUUUCAUACUUAUGAAAUGCUUUGUGACACGACCACGCCAUUAAGCAACACGUUACAACCCCCAAGUCAUACUACAUCAACUCAAGUACAACCAACAUCAUCACCAAUCCAAGUCUUUGAUGGACCAAUUACACGUAGCCGAGCUAAGAAGCUACAACAAGAGGUGCACACGCUACUUUAUAAAUUUCAAUUAAACACUAAUGAGAACUUUAUGCUACCUAAGUCGUGUAUGUUGAUAUUACAUAGGUUCACCAAAGAGGAAGGACAAAACAUAUCAAGGGCGAAUCAGCAAGAAGAGCUAUGUUCGAGUCAGUCCAGCGCAACAGAACCGUCCAGAAGAAACAGUCAUAUCUUUUGAUUCCCAAAAGCUAUGAAGGCCCAUAAGUAUUUUUUGGAAAGCUCUUGAAGUCUAGUUUCCAAUGCUUCUAAGGCCGACUUAAUCAAAUCUACCAGAAAGGCAGCCGACCUACUUUAGUGCUGACUGGUCAGAAAGUCAACAGUCUGUUUGAUGACCAAGUUUUUGUAUUAAACUGCAUCAUCUACGAAGUUUCUUUAAGCAUGCUAUACAUGGUGAGAAAGCUUAUCAAGUCAACUUUCCAACACAUCCAGCCCCACCUCAUUUGUAGAUUCCUAGGAGAAGUUAUUAUCAAAAUACUAAAGGUUGUGCAGAAGUCAAACAGCCAUACGGAAAUCAGCUCUGCAGAACUCUCGAAGAGGCUCCUUCACAUUAGCACGUGAAAAUACUUUUGUUUCGUGUUUAUACCUCUCUAAGGCUGGUUGUUACUAGUAAAAAUACCCCCUAUGUCUAUGAUGUAAGGCAACUUUUGAUAAUCUAAAAACAGAACCCUUUUGUUCAGUUGUGUGCUAACAAAUAUUGAGAGUGAUCUCUACCCAUUUGCUCUUGUGAAUUCUUUCGCGGGAUUGCAGAAGCAGCAACUUUAUCUGCUCCCAAGUGUUGCUCCUACUCCCUUUGAGGUAUCCUCGAUUGAUUGUAGGCUGUGUUGGUUGGUUCUUUGAGAGUGUGGUUGGGCGAAUCCUCGAUUCAGGUUGCCGAUUAAAGACGGUGGUUGGCUUCGAGUUUUAUUUGUUAGGUUGCACUAGUUAUCGCUGCUUGCAGCAAGUUAUCUUGGCUUCUUGGAAGCUAGUUAUCUGAAGAUUGAUCCUACGUCGUGAAGAUCGGGCAUCGUGAUGCAUCAUUUGGUAUCAAAGCCUCAGUUGCCACGGUAGAAUUCUUUACCCCUAGCUACAUCUAUUUUGUGUUCGUCCUAUCCACCAAAAAGCCAUAAAAUAUUUUUGCCAUAGCCCUUUGUUUCAAUCUAUUGUUCCAGUGAGUUUUGUUAAGUUUUAGUCCUUAGAGUCUUUGUUUAGUUGCUGGUCACUCUAUCCUUUGUGUUCCCUUUGAGC